GUUAUUAAAUAACCCCAAUUAAAGACCCAAAAUUUAAACAACAAUUAUCAACUCCCCAACUCCUCCAUCAGCCCAACUCCAAAAUCCCUAACCCGACCCAGUACCAUUAUUUCUCAUCUCCCUCAAACCACAGCAACAUUACAAAGCUAAGUACAAAUCAACCUUCAACAUCGAUGACAAAAUCAACCCAAAUCAUGACUCAUCAACCAAAACCAAACCCGUCUUCAACCCGCAUCCAAUGGCAAAAUCCGACCCCAACCCAUUUCUCUUUAUCGUCGUCACGCGUUCCACGCGGGUUCGUACGAGGAAAGUCUACAAGAUUCUAAAAAAUUCUUGCGUUGGCUCUUUCCAACGUUCCAAUCCCAUGAAUCUCGGGUACCAUGGUACGAAUUUGUACCUAUCUGGUUGAUUUUCAUUUGUUUGGGGUACGAUUUGAUUUUUCCGAACUGUUAUUAGUCCACCUAUUUGGAUUUGUUGAGGAAAAAUCCAAAUGGGGGGGGGGGGGGACAGCUCCUUUUGGUGUGUUUGUGGAAAAAAAACAAAGGGGGGGGGGGGGGGGGUACGAUUUGUUAGCACCCUCAUCUUUUGAAUUUUAAAAAUUUAACCCUCAAUCUCCUUCUAUAAGUAGUCCUCUUUAGAGCAAGAAAGGGGAUUGGAAAAUUUGAGGGUUAGAGAUUCUAGUUUUUUGAAAAAAGAAGCUAAAGAAGAAUGGUUCUUUUCCUUUUUUUAGGCUGGUUAAAAAAUCUGGGUUCAAAAAUUAGAGUCUCAAAAUUAAGGAUUAGAAAUUCUAGGGUUCAAAAGUGGGGGGUCGAUUUUGGUUCAAAGAUUUCUAAGAAAAUUUUGGGUUUCAGUAAAACUGAGAGGGCUCACUGUGAGCUAAAAGGGGGAGGUUCGACAAAUUUCAAAGAAAUUUUGAGGGGUCGAAAAUCCUGGGGUUCAAAAAUUAGGUGGGGAAAUUCUGAAGGCUAGGAAUUCUCGAGUUUGGAAAUUCAAGAAAGGAAAUUUUGGUUCAAGAAAACUAAAGAAAAAUAAAGAAAGAAAGAAAGAAAGAAAGAAUUUUUGAAGAAAAAUCAGGUGUUUAGCAAAGAGCGUUAGUUUAGAAAUGUAAUAGUAGUAGUGGUAUUUUAGAAAUCAAAUUCGGUGCUUGGUUGUGGUGUUAAGCUGGCUGCUACUCUCUUUCUACUUUCUGCAUCUAUAUACGUUACUCUGCGUGUAUGGUGAGAUGAUGCGUGAAUACGCGAUGAUGCUUUCUUUAUUAUGGUUAAAUAAAAAUGAAGGAGGUCCUCAUUGGUGAAUGUUUGUAGUAUUGCUCAGUGUCUAUGGUGAAGUUUAGGUUCAGUUGAUUUCUUAGAUUUUCUAUUUUGUUGGCUGUUUUAGUUAUUAUGUGGCCUAGCUUACAGCAUUGAUCAUUUUUAUAGCUAAUGUUACAGAUCCUUGCAUAUUGUUUAAAGAAGUUUUAUGCCUGCCUUGUUUUAGAAGAAUAAAAGAUGCCGCUUAGUCUAUUUAUUAUGUCUAAGUUACCUAAAUCAAGUCUUUCCUUCUAUUCUCAUUGAAUCUUCUAAUUAUUGGCUUGCUCAAUAUUGCUAUAUUGGUGUUUUCUGGUCCCGUUCUCUUCAUCAUAAUUCGAAUAAAAUUUGGGUAAACUAGCCAUCUUAGUGAUAUCUGAUUAAGAAGUACAAAGAGUUAUCUAUUCUUGUUUGAGUUUAAAAUGUGAAGUCUACUUUCCUAAUAUCUCGGCUGUCCCUGGGUCAUCCCUAAUUUCAUCACUACUGCCUCAAUACACGUAUAAGGAGCUUAAUGGUAUGCCUAUUUUGUGAAGCAUUUAAUUUAUUCCAUCUCAAAAGUGCGUUAAACCUUUUUGUUUAAAUCUUAUUUCGACACGUUAUUUUGAACUACUACUAUCUUCAUAACAGGUGUUCAAUGUUGAAAUUUUUAUUUUUUAUUUGGUGUGAUGGUUUACAGUGCCUUAGUUGUCAAACUUGCACAUAGAGUCCUCUGUUCUUUCUAGUUCAAUCCGAUUAGCUGAGGUGCUUUGAUUGUAAAGAUCCAUAUGCUUUAUUAAACCUUCUUCAAAUGGAAUGCGAUACAAUUACUUUCUUCUUACCCAAGCAAUGACGGUAUCACAUUCUGAAUUAGUUGGAUUUUAAUAUUCCUGUUUUGAUUUAUUUUUUGUUGCCUCGUUCUAUUCGAAUAGUAGUUCUCUAGUAUGUCACACAAAUUUAAUGUUUCUUUUGUUAAUUGGUUUAAUUCAUGUGCUGACUAUUAGCCUGUUCGAUUAAACGAGAAAAAUCGCAGCAUUGUGACUUUGCCGGUUUAAUUUAGCUAGAAUUCUCUUUCUAAUUGUAUGGUUUUACCAUGCUGAACAUGCCCAUUUUCUUGGCAUUUCUUUAUUCGAAUUUACUGUCUCCUAUUUGUUUCGGAUUACCACAAUUGUCGGAUCAUCAACCAACUUGUUAUAGUAUUUAUCCAUGUGGCAUUUCAUAUUUUGGAUGCAAAUUAAUUUCUUUCUUUUCUUCCUUCUUUUGCAUGUGAAUUCGUUGGAGUCCAAAUGGACUCUUUGCAUUCCCUAAUGGGCCAAUAAGGCCCAUCCGUUGAGUCAAGCCCGAAAGAGAGUCUAAGAAGAUAAUCUCACAGUGCACGUAUGCGAAGAGUCGAAAAAGGAAAAUGGGUUAAAAACCCACAUUUGAAGCGCCCAAGAAACUUGAAAGUCUCAUUUUUCAUUUUAUUUUGUUUAUUUAUUUGUUGUUGUCUUUAUUUGUUUUAUUUAUUUUCUUUAUUUAUUCAUUCGUUUAUUCGGGUCACGAAGCCAAAGUUGUAUUUAAUACAAGUGGAGCCUGAUCCAAGCCAAAGGCUCAAAAAGUAGACUAGGACAGGUGAAAUGGGUCAAAGGCCCAAUUAGACUAAGACAGGUUUUGUUGGUUUGGGCCCAACGGCCUAAAUCAUUUACUUUCUCCCCUUCCACUUUUUCUUUACGCUUGUUUGCCUUAUGUUCUUUGCAAACCUAGUUAAGUCGCUAAAAAACUAGUUUUGCAUAAACACCAAAAUAUUUCUAAAAGCACUUUCCAAAAAAUUAAUCACUUUUCGACAAAAUAAACUUUUUCGAAGUUAGUCAAAGACGAUUUUUAAACAGUCUGGAUAAUCACAAGUUAGCGGACGUUUUAGGUGCCUAACACCUUUCUAAAACGUUAAUAGAAACCGCUUACUCAGAAUCUUCAAAACUUGAAUGAUUUUCUAUUUCGGAUUGGUCAAAGUACUUUAUAAAGGUUUCUUGAUUCCUUUUCAAAAUAAGUGGCAACUCUCUUCAAAAGGUCUAAAUUUCUCUGCAAAGUAGUUAUUCUUGUGGAGAACAUAGAAGUCUCCCAAGUGGAUUUAAUAUGGUAUAUUGAAAGGACACCUACGGUCCCCUUAACCUAAAUGGUUUGGCUAUGGAUAUUACUUGCAAGUAAUGGAAUGGUAUGACGAUACCACUAAUAUUGGCCUUGGUUAAUAAAUUAUAAAUGGAUUGUUUGGACAUUGUUUUAAUUGGACAUUAAUAGUGGGGUGUGUAGCUAAGACGUGGCAGGUGGCAGUCCCAGGGGACUAAAACUGGAAACUUAUAUUUUCCAAUAUAAGGGGUCCUUGAUGACCACGUGUGAGUGUCAUGUUUUAUAUUGGAGGGAUGUACUAAUCAUUCGAUGGGAUAUUCCUCGAUCAUGUGUUUACACGCAUUGGGACCCUUGUAGAAGGGGGAUCUGAAUCCAUAUCACCCAUGGGUAGUUAGGACGACAAAGUGACACAACCAGGUAAAGGUUUUAAGUGCAUGCUAAACCCGGUCCCUUAUUCUCAAAACUUAUAUAUGUAUGGUUAUAUGCAUUAUGGAUGGUUUUUACUGGGUUUUAUAACUGGAAUUAGUUUAUCCUUACCUUGAGUUUCAUGCUAGCAGUCAUUUGCUAACCCUGUCUACUGGCGGCUGUAUACCCACACUAUACAGGAACUAGCCAUUCUACUCCUCCUAUUUAGCACGUGGAUUUGGUACCAACAUUUAGACUAAAGUGGUGAGUUUCCAUCCUUUCAUAAGACAUUAUUUCACGUUAUGGAUUCUUUUUAGACAUUUUUCACUUAUUUUGGAUAUUGUUUUUGGCUAUGGUUGGGGGCAUGUCCUAACCAGAUUUGUUUACUCUUUUGGAUAGAGGCUUUGUGGUAUUUUUGAGGGUUGGUAUGGGUGGGAUCGAUAUUGGUGUCGGCCUUGGCAUUGAAAUAAAUCGGUGGGCUGACAUCAUUGAAUGAUAUUUUUGGUUGUUCCAUCGUAUUACAUUUUGGGAUUGAUUUUCAUAUUAUGUUUGGUAUUCCUUUUGGUUUAUGGUCUAUGGUUUGGGUUGGUAUGGUUGGUCAGUUAGAGAGGUAUGGUUGGACUCGGUUGGGUCGGUCACGGUCAUGACCCUAUCCCAUAGUCUUAAUGAAAACAAUAACACUAUCUUGUUAUAUGUUCAAAAUUCAGCCCAUCUAAGGCUGGACAUAGGUGGUUAGGUUGGGUAAUAUGGGGUGGUCCUUGGUCCUGGUUGGACUUGGGAUGCUCAUUAUGAAAAGGUUAGGAAUCAGGUUGUGUCAAAUAUGUUCUCCUUACGACUACUCACCACGAGUCGUAGUCAGUCCUUACGACUCAUGGUCUUCACUCAUUACCACUGAGGCAUUAAUCUUCAAAACUUUAUUCACUAGUCACAAUAUGAACUCUCACUAUGAGUCGUAGUCUAACCUCACGACUUGUAUCCUUCUUUUACUUUAUUAUUGGGCUUUAGCGUUACUCACUUUUAUCUUUACGGUUUCACACCACAACCCGUAGUCACUUCUUAUGAGUCGUGGUCAGUCCUUACUUGGUUUCUUCAAUUCACCCUUAGCUAUUGGUAUCCUUAGGAGUCUGGCUACGAGUCGUAAGGUGACUUAACGACUCAUAGCUUAACUAGUACUUCAACUUUUCAGCACUUUCUUUUCUCCUUUUAGUCCAACACCACCUUCGAUCUAGUUUACCUACAAAACACGAAAAACAUACAUCAUAUCCAAUGAAAUGACCUAAGUCAAUCCAUAAUUUCACAAUUUUAAGUAGCGAAUGUGCCCUUUUUCCAUGACAUAUCACUUGGUUUUGCUAUCUGCAAUGGGAAAAACUACUCCAAUAUUUAACCACUUAAUUAUUUCCUUAGUCACCACCUCCUGCAUAUAUGAGGGUUCAAUCGCCUCUGAUGCUCAAUACUGGGGAUGGUGUCUAGAUCUAUUUGUAUCUUAUGUGUACAUAUACCUAAUGGAAUCCCCAAAAUGUUUGCAAUGGUCCACUUAAUAUCUCUCUUGAAUUUUUGCAACACGGAUAUCAAACUUCUACCUGUGAUCGUGCCAAAUUUGACUCAAUAAUUAUCGGUAAGGUAUUGUUGACCCCUAAGAAUACAUACUACUAAUGAGAUGGAAGGGCUUUCAAUUCAAAUAUCGGUAGCUCCUCAAUGGAUGGUUUUGCAGGAUGUAUGGUUCUGUUUUUCAAAUCAAGAUCCAGCUUUUUAGGGGCAUUCUUGUAAGAACGUAUGUCUCGUAAUGCAUUGACCAACUCGUCAUAUUCAUUUAGUCCACAAUCUCAAAAUUCAUAAUCAUUAUUGCUAAUGCUUUAACCCCUAAUCUUAUUCAAUAGGCACACCUUCUACAACUACAUUGUCAUCCACAAUAUCUAUCAUCGUCACAACUCUCAUAUUAUCUGGUUGUUGGACUGUCAUACACAUAUAAAAAAAUAUUUUCUCAUCAUUUGGUUUGAAGGUGAUCUCCUCCAAAUCUAUAUCAAUCAACACCCGUCUAGUGGAUAGGAAGGUUAUACCCAAUAUAAUUGGAGCUUGGGCAUCCACUUCCCAGUCUAAAAUUAUGAAAUCCUCUGGGUAUAUAAAUGUAAUGCCCCGAGUCUGUACCCUAGAUGCUAUACGGUGCUUACGUCCCCGAAGGACCAUAAGCUAACCCAUGACUGAUAUCUGCUGUGAGUACUAAAUAGUCACACUGUAAUAAUAAUAAUAAUACUGAAAUAAAUGCGGAAAUUAGGCUAAAGUGGCCAUAAGGUUCACAACUGAAAACAAAUAUUAAAUACUAAUAAUUGAAUAUUGAAAACUGAAUAUCUGUCUACAAUACUCUAGUUUGAAAGCCUCUAACUGUUUGAUUAUAGAGUUGAUGGGACAAGUCCCCAACUAACUCCAUCUACUAAAUGUGCCGAACUACUGAAAUACUGAAAGAUAAUAUUGUCCUUGAACUAUGAGGACUCACCACUAAAUCUGUUACUGAUAAUCCGAGUUGCUAAGUGCGGUUAGGAGCCCGUGCGUCUGAACCUGUGAUAUAAGAACUAAUUCUAUAGAACAGAACUAAGUUCUAUACUGAGCUGGGUAACUGCGUCUGACAGUCCUGAAUCUGUAGAACUAGACUGAGUUUUAUGCUGAGACUAAAAAUGAAACUGUGGGAGGUAAUCAUCCAAUCGACAAGCCCAAAAUUUGAGAUGAUAGGGGUCUGACCUAUGACGCCAGUUGGAAGGGUGCUAAUACCGUGUUGUGGGUACUAAUACUGGAAAACCAGGAUGCCAAGCCUAACUGACGGGUGACACUUGGGUGAAGUCAAGCCUAAUCUAACAGGUGACCCCUGGAAGGUAGUCAAGCCUAGUCUGAUGAGUGACUCCUCAUUCUGCACUGGCUAUGCAGUUCUUGAGUACAGGGACUACUACUAACGACUUUACCUCUCUGACGAGGAAGUCAUCAUCCUUACACUCACUCGGUGCUAAAUCCUACUCCCAACUAAAUAAACACUGAACUAAGUUCUAAACUGUACUAGGCUGGACUGAACUAUUACUGAUCAUGUUGCCUAACUGGACAGAACUGAGUUUAUUGAGUCCCGCUAACUAAUGGAAUACUACUGAGCUUUGAACUGUAUACUGAACUGAAACUGUGAUUGAUUACUGAGUACUAUUAUUCGUGAUGCUAUUGAGAUUGUUUUGUAACUACUGUACUCUAGGUAAGCAACUAAAUUUUCGGGUAUUAAAUACCCCUAGGACUCGAUAGCGUGAAAAGUAAUGCAUAGCAUAAACUUGAAAAGCAUCACAAUGUUCACUUGCUCAAAACUCGUUCAUAGAGGUAUUCUAUCAAACACUUGUAAGAUAUAAGCUUGCACAUAUACUAGUAUGUCAUAAUUUUCACAUUUAUUUCACAUAAGCAAUUUAUCAAGCACUUGGGGAACAUAAUCUAUGCACAUGAUACUAAACAACAUGUAGGCAUCAUAAUUUCAAAUCCCAUUUCAAAAAUCAAGGUCUUUUAACAUGAAUUCACAUGAUACUACACACAUGAUAAAUAAUUUCACAUGAAACUUGGAAUAAAUCAUGGCUUAGAACACAAUUAAUAUCAUAAUCAUGAAUACACUCAAAUCUCAUACGGAAUUCAUGAAAUCAAUUAACAUGUAGUUUAAAAGAGUUUUUUGAACUCCAAGGGUGGAAGGAAACCCUUGGAAGAACACUUCACAUACCUCGGUACUUGAAUUAAUGAAGGUUGAUGGUGAAUUUCUUAAAGCUUGAAUUGAAAUUAGAUCUCCUAGGGUUUUGUUCUUGAGUAAUUUGAGAGAAAUAAUGAAUGUUUUUCUCUAUGAGUGAUUAAUUUUGUGUUUUUGGGUCUGAAUAUGGGUGGAAAAAUAAUGCAAAUACCUUAAUAGAUACAGAGUUUUAAUGACUGAAAAUGAGUCUAGUGAUGCGCAGCGCGCUGCGCUGCAUUAAUGGGCUCAGCGCGAUGGCCAAUGCACCAUGUUGAGUCUAUAUCGGCUUAUUGGAAAUUGGCAAUGGGAGCUGGGAAAAACCUUUAUCAACGUGAUAGGCAAUGCGACACAUCGAGAUCAUAUUGAUCCACUGGUUUGGACUUCCAAACGUUAUUCGAACGAUGUUCGAACAAUCCAAAACUUGUCUGAGAAUACCUACUCACAUACCUGAUCACGAAUCAACCUAAAAAGAGAUACUUUAAGAUUUUCAGGGUCAGGAAAGAGGACCGCCAACUUAUGAGGCUAAAAAAAAUUUCUAAGUGUAAACACUUAGCUGAAAUUUCAAAGUAUGGGACCCCUUAUCAAGCUCUACGGGAUGAGUUAAGCUUAGAAUUUUGCGGGGUCUAACAAUAAAGAAUGCCACCAUUACUUCUACAUUAUGCAAAAUACCCACUGACUUCUUUAUAGAUGAAUCAACUAUUUGCAGCCUUGCAGAUGUAGGCUUGAGUGUUCCUAGAGCUAACACCUUGUAUAUAACCAGUGGCAUUAAAUUGAUGCCCACUCCCAAAUCAUAUAGAACUUGUUUAAUGUCAACGGGCAUAAUAGAACACAGAAUAGUGACCGCUCCAGGGUCCUCCUUCUACUCUACUGGUGGAUAGUAAGGAACUGCACUACAAUGGCAUACCACAUCAUUAGGUUUGUCGUUACCUCGGUCCUCACUGUCGUCACUUUUGUAAUCAUCAUCAAGACAUGUCAGCUUCUUAAAUUCUACAAUGGGGAACUCAUUUAUCACAGUGUUGUCUUUCUUUAACUCUAUAGUAGUAGGCAAAGGAAAAUCAUUAGUAAGGGUACCACUUCUAGGGGUAAUAGCUAGGCAAUGGCUUAUAUCUAGUGGAAUUUGAACUUUUUCACUAGAAAGGGUAUCGGGCUGCUUCUGUUUUAUCAUAGCAGACAUUUACCCAAACUGUGUCUCUAAUUGUUUGAUUGGAAUUGCAUGGGAAUCAAUCAUUUGAGUCAGGGUUAAAAUAUCUGCUUUGAUCUCUCUAAGACUGUCCUCUUGAUUUUCUUGACCUUUGACCAGCUUGGUCAAUAUAGACUUUAUUUUAGAUUCUGUAUCCUAGUUUUCUAGUAGAAUGUACUAUCUCUCUUCUCUCUAUACUCAUCCCUUUUCCUCCAGUCACCAUCUUGCUCCCUACGGCAGUUCCUAUAUCUAUCUCCAUAAUAGUUCCAACCUUAAUUUCCCUGCCCUUGGGCUUGGAAACUCGCCAACUCGUGAUCAAGAUACUUGGCUUCCUCCUCUAAAUUAAACUCAUAAGCUCUGGAAGCUAAACCUUGUGCUCCUAUUACAUUUACUUUCUUGCACAUGGUCAAAUCCCCGUGAAUGCAAAGAUGAAAGGUGCCUUGCACAAUAUUUACACAAAGUCCAUUCAGACUUUGAUCGGGGGUUUGGAAUUCGUUUGGAACCCCGUGCGCAAAAACAAACUAUGCUACCAUGCCAAAUUCAACAUUCCAGACUCAAUAGAACCAUAAAAACUUUUAUCUGAGAUCAUUUUGAUUAAAUAUGGGCCUCACACGUAGUUUUAUUUUUUAUCAAAUAUAUCCAAUAGUCAAAAUGAGUCCAAAAGCCUCAGGACCUGAACCAAGGGCCCCUUUGCCUAAAAUAAAUAUUUUGGAGUUAAUGGCACUGUUGAAUUCUCAUACGAGGUCAUUUAAUAGAAAUUUUGGUUUGAAAACAAUUUCUUAACAACAAAAGCUCCAAAAGUCAACGGAUAGGAAAAACCCAAAAGUUUAAAAAGAUGAGGUACUGGACUUGUAUGCACUGAGCAUGACACCCAAGAUAACCUUUAAGAAGAAUCAACAUUUUCAAGGGAUUUCACCAAAGUAUCCUUGUUCACCAACUUCCUUACUUCACUUCUCAAAUAGCCAUAAACUUUAUCUCAACAUCCAACAAGCCUCCAAUUGAAUUGAGAACGACUGUUACAUGCAACCCCAAACCAUAAUACACUAAUACAAGAAUAACCAGUGAAAACUUAACCAAACUAAAGACCGCCCAAGGCAUGAACCAUGCAACUAACUCUAAAUUCUAAAUCCAAUAUUCCUUUGUCAUUCUAAACCUACUAUUAACUCUAAUAUUUACUGCAGCCCUGUCUUUGUAAUUAUAUUGCACUAACCUUGAAAGUCUAAAGCUGAUAUCCCGAAAUCCACAUAGAUUAGCAUAAAAACCAAGCCCAUAAGGUGCUGAUAGACACAUAAAUAGAGAUAAUAAAAGUCUGCGAUCUCUAUCCCAAGCUACAACUAGUCUGAAUAACUCUCAAAACUGAUAGUCAGGAAUACAAAGUACAAACUCUCAAAGCUGAAUGAUUCGCUCCAAUAUGCCCUAAUAAAUAUGGUGAAACCAUGCUAAGACCAACUCAAGCACACUUUUACUAUUGAGAAGACAUUUACAAUUCUUAUCAAUACUAAAAACCAAGGUCAAGUAUAGCAGAUGCUAAUACCGUGUGACACUGGAUUAUCCUUUGAACAUAUAUGAUGUACACACAAUUCUAAUAGCUGCAAUCAAGUUACAUAAUAAUAGCUGAGAUCCUCAAAAUGAAGUUGAACUACUCAAUCUCAAUUAUCCAAAUCUAUCAUGCUGACGAGUAAGCAUCCAUAACACAAAAUCUACCACAAAUUCCAAGCCACUAUUCAAAAGAUCAAAAUCCAAAACUGAUGCCCAUGAUUCUUCACAGAUAUCAAGUACUCAAACCAAUUUCACCAUCAAAUUCCAACAUAUAUACAAUGGUUCAUGCAAGAUUUAAAAUGAAAAUUACCAAAGAACAUAAUCACAACAGAGGAAAACCAUCAAAUAAAGACACAGAAAAUUAAAUCUAUACUGGUUGAAGGGCAUAAUGCACCAAGAUAUAACCAAGAAAUCAUCAAUGCUGCAAACAGUACUAGUGGUGGCCAUAACUUAAGCAAGUUAGAGAAUUGCAAUCUUAGCUUGAAUCUGGUUAAUCCAAUACACAAUAAAUGACAACGAAUACCUAUACACAUAUAUCACUAAAUAAAACCAUUGCACAAAGCUAUAUUAAAGCAUCCCAGGUUUGGACCCUUAGAAAAUUUCCAAGAAUCUAAUUCUUCGGACCUAUUAUGACUCAUGGAAUGAGCCGUAAGUUGGGGUACGAGUAGUGAAGUCCUGUCGUAAGCUAUCUAGUAGUAGUUGGUGAGAUAGUUUUGGUCAUUAAAAUGGAUAGGACUUAGAUGUGAGUGUCAUAUGGUUGGGUACGAGUUGUAUAGGUGACUCAUAAAAUGCAUAGUGUUUGAUUCUCCUGGUGUUAUAUUCUUCUAGGGAUAUAGAUCUUGCGUACGAAUUGUAUACUGAGGUUAUGACUUAGUUGGAUGAUUCAUAUACUAGAAAGUGUCUGAUCUAUGGAUUAGGAUUGGUUAUGAUUGGGUGGGUAUCAAUCAUAAAAUAGGUUACAACUCGUAAGGAGGUCAGUCGUAACCCUAUGUUAGGUUUUUAUGGGAUUUAAAUAGGGGUAUUUUGGAUAUUUUCCUACAUACCCUAAUAAGGACCCACGACUUCUAAUAUAUUUAAAAGGUUACUUACCCUAUUAUUUUAUUUUUAAACACUUAGAAUCUCUUCCAAAACAUAUCAUAAUUCUCUCAAGAGCUUUUGGGGCAAAGAGCUAGGUUUUAAACUAAUGGAUUACUUUUGGGCCAUUCUUGGUGAAUUCUUUCCAUCAAUCUUCUUGGUUUAAGGAAUAAUUAUCUUCCCUAAUUGUAAUUUCAAUUAAAGAAAUGCUUAUAUGGUUGAUUUCAUGGUUUUUACUUUUGCAUGGUUUUGGUUUUUAAUCAUUGAAUUAGGGUUUUGAUAUUAAAGGCUUGGUUAUGAUUUCUUAUGGUUUUAAUUAUGUUUUCUAUGUAUUAAUGGUGGUUUUUGAUAAUGGAAUUUCAUGGUAAUAGUUUAAUGGUAAUGGAAUUUGGUUUUGGUUGACUCUGUCCCCAAGGUGCUUGAUAAAAUUCUUAUAAAGAUAUGUUCAUUGGAUUGACUUAUGUUAAUGGAACUCUUGCUUGUUUUCAGCUUGUAUAUGAAACCUUAAAUGUUUUUCAAUGGUUUACAAAGGUUAAUGGCUAAUUGGUAAUGCUUGUGGAGAAUAUGGUAGUCUCCUAAGAGGUUAAUAUGGUAAGCGGAAAGGGCAUCUAGAGUCCCCUUAAUCUUAAUCGUUUGGCUAUGGGUAAUGCUUGCAAGUAUGGUGGUAUGAUGAUACCAAUGGUUUAUCAAAUAUCCUUGGUUAAUAAAUGGAUAAUUGGAUUAUUUAGACAUGGUUUUAAUUAUAUAUUAAUAGCGGAAAGAGUAAGCUGAGCCGUGAAAGGCGGUGAUCUCAAAGAAUCAAAGUCGGGAACUCAUAUUUGCCAAUAUGAGGGGUCUUUGAUGGCCACGUUUGAGUUUUACAUUUAUACUGGAGGGAUGUACUAGUAAUCCCAGGGUUAUUUCUAGGUCAUGCGGCUACACGCACUUAAACCCUUUCAGUAGGGGAAGCUGAACCCAAAUGGCCUGUGGGUGCUAGGGAGGUUAAGCUACACAACCCAGGUUAAGGUUUUAAAUGGCAUGCUAAACCCGAUCCCUUUUUCCAGCACUUAUAUAUGUAUGGUUGUUUGCAUUGUGUGGUUUUUAUUUGGUUUUGAUAAAUGGAAUUACUUUACCCUUAUCCUGAGGUUCAUACUAGUGUUCAUCCACUAACCCAUCUAUUGGUGGCUGUAUACCCAUGCUAUGCAGGAACCGAAGUGAUGAGCCUCUAUCCUUUUGGAAGGCAUCAUUUCAUGAUAGACAUUCUUAGACUUUUUAUUUUCUUUACAGAUAUUUAUUUUGUCCAUUGUUGGGGGCAUGUCCCAAUCGGACAUUUGUGUCCUUUUGGAUAGAAGCUUUGUGGUACUUCUAGGGGUUGGAAUGGGCGUGAUCGGCAUUAGUGUCAGCGUUGGCAUUGGAAUAAGCUGGGAGGUUGGCAUCAUUGGACAUAAUUUCUCACUAUUUCAUCAUGUUACAUUUUAGGUUUGACUUUCAUAUUAUGUUUUGAUAUUCUCUUUGGUUUGGUAUAGUAUGGAAGGUUGGUUUGCUAUGGACAGACUUGGUUGGGUCAGUCAUAGUUGUGACCCUAUCCCAAAGUCUUCAUGAGAGCAUUGCGGAAUCUUGUUAUAUACUCAAAAUUCAGCUCAUCUAAUGUUGUAUAAGGUGGUUGGGUUGGGUUAAGGGGGUGGUCCCCAGUCCUAGGUGGACUUGGGAUUCCCAUUAUGAUAAGGCCCCAGUCCAGACUACGUUAAGUUGUUAUCUGUGCCUAGGUUCAUGGUCAAUUAGGUAUCUACAAGCUGUGUUGAGUAGAGUCUCUUUUAAGGGUGUGUAGCGUACCACACUCAUAAGGGAGAGCCUGUAAGUCAUCUAAGAAUGUUUCACUUUCUUGGUAUUCUUUCUUCAAGUUUGACUUCUCAGUCCUGGAAUUUUCUCUAAUCUUUAUUUGUUUAUCUUUCAUAUCAUGCCUCCUAGAUCUGGAACAUAAUAAAUUCUUCCAUCCUAUCUGGGGAUAAUGCUGAAGGAGUACCUCCUAUGUCUGGAGUAAAUCUUUGAUCUCAUAGUCCUAUUCCUGACUGUACCAGAGUUCCUCAUAUUAUUCUUACUGCUACUCAGGUCCCUCAGGGAAAUGUGACGAAUGCGGAGUUUUGUUAGUCUAUGCAUGUCAUUGCCCAACUGGUUGCUACUCAGGCCGAGCGGGGUACGACCAACAUUGUAUUUGCUGAGGCCACUAGGCUUGGAUAGUUUAUAAAGAUGGUUUCUCUGACUUUUACAAGAGUGAAGGUAAAGGAAGACCCACAAAGAUUUCUUGAUGAUAUAGGGAAGAUCUUUUGAGUAAUGAGGGCUACUAAUGUGGAAAGAGUAAACUUUACAGCUUAUCAGCUCAAAAGGUUGCUUAUCUAUGGUAUGAGGAGUGGGAUAGAGAUAAGGAUAAUGUAAAAGAGGAUGGUUUAUGGGAUGUCUUUUAUGUUGCUAUCAUGGAUCAGUUCUUUCCUCAAGAGUUGAGGGCAGCUAAGAUGGAGGAAUUUAUGAACCUCAGGAAAAGAAGAAUAUCUGUGAAGGAGUAUGAUUUAAAUUUCCAUUAGUUGUCGAGGUAUGCUUCUGAUUUGGUGGCUGAUAUAAGGUCAAGAAUGAGGAAGUUCACUUUUAGGCUAUACAGAGAUCUGAUUCUAGAGAGUAAGACUGUUUUACUUAUGAAGGAUCAGGACAUAUCAAGGUUGACUGUUCAUAUAUAGAAGGUUGAGAAUGAGAAGAAAAAAUAGGAGAAAUAUGGAGAUAGGCAGGUUAAGCGAGGUAGGUUUUCUAAUCAGUGAGGUACCCAGUCUUAAGGUGGUAGAAAUGGUAGGAAAUGACAAAAAAAGAAGUAGGGGAGUUCUAGUUCCUUCUCUACUGCCAGUGCUCCUUACCCCCAGCAGUCGAGCGACAAGCGUCAUCAUAGUGGUAAUAAUUCUUGAGUACAGGGAGCCCAGUCUCAAGAAAGCAGAGGUCAGUCUAUUUCUUUAUAUACUUCUUAUCAGUUUUAUGGUCGUCCUUAUCGGGGCUUCUAUAAGGAAAGUAAGUAAAAGUGCUUCCAGUGUGGCAAAGUAAGCCAUCGGCUCAGAGAUUGUCCAUCUAACAAGGUUGCUACAGGGGCGAAUAAGAUUCUAGGGCUUUAUCUUCUGUUCCACAUCCGGUGGUAUGUCAUUUGCUUCUGUUACUACUCCUAGUUCUAAUGCCAGUUGAAAUAGGUUGUAUGAUUUGGCAUCCCAUCAGGAAUCUGAUGCAUCCCCUGAUAUUAUUACUGGUACAUUAUAUCUUUUCUCCUGUGAUGUGUAUUAUUUGCUUGAUUCAGGUUCUACCCAUUCCUAUGUGACUCCUUAUAUAGCUGUGUCUUUUAGUUUCUAUCCAGAAAUUAUUUUGGAUUCAUUUUCUAUUUCUAUAAUAGUAAGAGAUUUGGUCAUUGCUGAAUGAGUCUAUGGGGGUGUGUGGUAUAUGUGAGUGGUAGGCAGACUUUGGCGGAUCUGUUUGAGUUAGGUAUGGUAGAUUUUGAUAUAAUAUGGGGCAUGGAUUGGUUGCAUUCUUGUUAUGAAAAUUUAGAUUAUCAAACUUGUAGGGUCAUCUUUAGGUUCCCUGGUGAGCGAAAAAUAGAAUGGGAAGGUUGUUCCUUAGCACCUAGGGGGAAAUUUAUUUCUUAUACUAUAGCCCAAAGUUUAAUCUCUAAAGGUUGUCUUUAUCACUUAGUUCGGGUUAAAGAUUUCAAUUCGAAAGGUCCUCCUUUAUCUUUGAUCCAUAUGGUUAAUGAGUUUCCAGAGGUCUUUCUGGAUGAUCUUCCAAGUGCUCCUCUGGAUAGGGAAAUAGAGUUUGGUAUUGAUUUAAUUCCAGACACUUGUCCAAUUUUUAUUUCUCCAUAUAGAAUGGCUCCGACUGAUUUAAGGGAACUCAAGGAGAAUAUUAAGAAUCUUCUAGAUAAAAGGUUUAUUCGUCGUACAUUUUCUUAUGAGGUGCAUCGGUGUUCUUCGUACACAAAAAGGAUGGUCAUCUUUAUAUGUGCAUCGACUGUAGAUAGUUGAGUAAGGUAAUGGUCAAAAACAAAUAUCUUCUCCCUCGGAUAGAUGAUCUGUUUGGUCAGUUUCAAGGUGUAAAGUUUUUCUCUAAGAUAGCUCUUUGGUUUGGGUACCACCAGUUAAAGAUUAGGGAGGUAGAUAUCCCUAAGAUGGCCUUUUAUACUAGGUAUAGGCAUUGUGAGUUUUUGGUGAUGUCAUUUGGAUUGACAAAUGCCCCGGCAAUAUUUAUGGAUCUAAUGAAUAGGGUGUUUCAACAGUAUUUGGAUCUCUUCGUCAUUGUGUGUAUUGGCGAUAUUCUGGUGUAUUUGAAGAGUGAGCUGGAUCAUACUAAUCACCUCUAUAUAGUGUUGCAGACCUUAAGGGAACAACUGUUGUUUGCUAAGUUCUCUAAGUGCAAUUUUAAGUUAAAUAUUGUGACUUUCUUGGGUCAUAUCAUUUCUAGUGAAGGGAUCAUAGCGGAUCCGCAAAAGGUGGCUGUGGUGAAGAAGUGGCCUAGAACUAUUACUCCAUCUGAUAUUCCGAGCUUCUUGGGUUUACCCAGGUAUUAUAGGCGGUUUGUGAAGAGCUUCUCAUUGAUAACUUCUCCUUUGACUAAGUUGACUCAGAAGAAGGUUAAAUUUUCUUGGUUAGAUGCAUCUGAAGGGAGUUUUGAGAAGUUGAAGGAAAAAUUUACUUCGGCUCUAGUUCUAACUUUGCUGAAAGGCAAUGAUGGGUUCAUGGUUUAUUGUAAUACAUCUUGGGUUUGUCUUGGUUGUGUGUUGAUGCAGUAUGGGAAGGUGAUAGCCUAUGCUUCCAGCCAGUUGAAGGUGCAUAGAGGAACUAUCCUACUCAUGAUUUAGAGCUAUUGGUCGUUGUGUUUUCUUUGAAGAUAUGGCAAAAUUAUUUGUAUGGGGUUCACAUGGAUAUCUUUUUUAUCAUAAGAAUUUACAGUAUGUGUUCUCGCAAAAAGAGCUUAAUCUCAGGCAGAGAAGAUAACUUGAGCAUCUCAAGGAUUAUGAUAUGAGUCUUCACUACCAUCCAGGUAAAGCUAACGUGGUUACUAAUGCUCUUAGCAGGUUUUCCAUGGGUAGUUUAGCUCAUGUGGAAGAAGGAAAGCGGUAAUUAGUAAAAGAUAUUCAUUUCUUAACAAAUCUUAGAGUGCAUCUCUUAGACUCCAAGGAUAGUGGUGUGAUGGUGCAAGAAGUGGUUAGAUCAUCUCUUGGUGUGGAGAUUAAGGAGAAUCAAGUGUUGGAUUCUGCCUUAAUAAAAAUCAAUGGCAGCGUUGUUGAGCAAAAGGUGGUAGAUUUUGAGAUUAGCGAUGAUGGUACUUUGCGGUACCAAGGGAGGUUGUGUUUUCCUAAUGUAGAUGGUUUACGACAAAGGAUCUUGGCUGAAGUACACGAGUCGCGCUAUGUGUCUAUCCUGGUUCUAUAAAGAUGUACCUAAUCUCAAGGAGAUCUAUUGGUGGAGUGGAAAGAAGCGGGGCGUGGUUGAUUUUGUGUCCAAGUUCUUGGUGUGUCAACAAGAUAAGGUUGAGAACAUGAGGCCUGGUGGGUUGUAUCAAGAGAUUAAGUUACCUGAAUAGAAGUGGGAGGAUAUCAAUAUAGAUUGCAUUACCGGUCUUCCUUGAUUUCAAAACCAAUUUGAUUCGAUUUGGGUCAUUGUGGAUAGGAUGACGAACUAUGCGUAUUUCUUGCCUGUGCGAACUAGCUUUUUGAUGGAGGAUUAUGUGAAGCUUUAUCUUCAAGAGAUUGUGAAACUGCAUGGGGUGCCUGUUUCAAUUAUUGGUUAUCGCGGUACGUAGUUUACGUCCCACUUAUGGCGGUCUUUCCAGAAAGGGUUGGGGACUAAGGUUAGUCUGAGUACGACUUUCCACCCACCAUCGGAUGGGUAGGAAGAAAGAAUUAUUCAGACAUUGAAAGAUAUGCUUUAAGCCUGUGUGAUUGAUUAUGGUGGCAGUUGGGUGGAGCAUCUACCUUUGCUAGAGUUUGCUUACAACAAUAGCUAUCAUAAGAGUAUUGGUAUGGCUCCUUUUGAGGCCUUGUAUGGUAGGAUGUGCAGAUCUCUUAUUGGUUGGUUUGAGCUAGGCGAGGCUGAUUUGUUUGGUCCGAAUUUGGUUCGUCAAGAUAUGGAAAAGGUGAAGGUGAUUCAGGGUAGGAUCAAGGCUUCCCAGAGUUUUCAAAAAUCGUAAGUGAAUGUUAGGUUUAAAGAUUUGGAGUUCGCAGUUGGGGAUAAGCUUUUCCUUAAGUUGUCUCUUAUGAAGAAGUAGUGUGGUUUGGCAAAAAGGGAAAGCGUAGUCCUCGGUACAUUGGUCCUUAUGAUUUUUUUUGAAGAGUGGGUAAUGUUGCGUAUAAGUUGCUAUCUAGUUUGAGUUUGGUUCAUUCAGUAUUUCAAAUUUCUAUGUUGAGGAAGUGCAUUGGUGAUUCAUCUUCAUUAUGCCUUUGGAAGGGUUGGAUAUCUAAGAUUAUUUGUCUAACGAAGAGGUCCCAAUUGAGAUAUUGGAUAGGUAGGUUCGUCGAUUGCAGACCAAGGAUGUGGCUUUGGUUAAGGUUAUAUGGCGGAACCACAAGGUGAAAGAGGCCACAUAGGAAGGGGAAGAGGACAUGAAGUCCAAGUAUCUGCUCUUGUUUUCUUCUCCUGAUAUUCAUGCGGAAGGUAUGUGUUCUUGAACACAUUUUUAUUUUCUGAUUUUGUUAAAGAAAAGAUUAACAUCUUUUCCUUCUUGUUUUCAAACUUUGUUAAAGGGAUGUUUGAUAAUGCAAAUGACUCUGUGUUUGGUUACCCCUACCUUAUCCGUCAUUUGGGAAUGAAUGUUCCUAGUGGGGGAAACUAAAGCAUCGCAGGGUUAGACCCUUAGAAAAUUUCUAGGAAUCUCAUUCUUUGGACCAAUUAUGACACAUGGUACAAGCCGUAAGCUGGGGUACGAGUGGUGAAUUCCUAUCAUAGGAUGACCAAUGUUAGUUAGUGGGAUGGUUUUGGUCACUGUAAUAGCUAUGACUUAGGGGUGAGUGUCGUAUGGUUGGGUACGAGUCGUAUAGGUGACGUGUAAGGUGGACAGUGUUUGAUCCUUCUGGUGUUACAUUCUGCCAAGGAUACGAAUCAUGGAUUCGGAUCGUAUGCUGAGGUUACGACUUGGUUGGAUGAUUCGUAUACUGGACAGUGUCUAAUCCACGAUUGAGGAUUGGUUAUGAUUGGUUGGGUAUCAACCAUAAGCUAGGUUACGACUCAUAAAGAGGUCAGUCAUAACCCUGUGUUGGGUUUUUAUGAGAUUUAAAUGGGGGUAUUCUGGACAUUUCCCUACUUACCCUAAUAAGGAUCCACGACUUCUAAUACAUUUAGGAGGUUAUUUAUCCUAUUAUUUUAUUCUUAAACACUUAGAAUUUCUUUCAAAAUAUAUCAGAAUUCUCUCAAGAGCUUUUGGGGAAAAGAGCUAGGGUUUCAACUAAGGAUUACUUUGGAGCUGGUCUUGGUGAAUUCUUUCCAUAAAUCUUCCUGGUUUAAGGCAUGAUUCUCUCCCCUACGUGCAAUUUCAAUUAAAGGCAUGGUUAUAUGGUUGAUUUCAUGGUUUUUACUUUUGCAUGGUUUUGGUUUUCGAUCAUUGAUUUGGGGGUUUUGAUGUUAAAGGCUUGGUUAUGAUUUCUUAUGGUUUUAAUUAUGCUUUCUAUGCAUUAAUGGUGAUUUUGGAUAAUGGAAUUGCAUGGUAAUGGUUUAAUGGUAAUGGAAUUUGGUUUUGGUUGUACUAUACCCUAAGGUGUUUGAUAAAAUGCUUAUAAAGAUAUGUUCAUUGCAUUGACUUAUGUUAAUGAAACUCUUGCUUGUUUUCAGCUUAUCUAUGAAACCUUAAAUUUUUCAAUGGUUUACAAAGUUUAAUGGCUAAUUGUUAAUGCUUGUGGAGAACAUGGUAGUCUCCCAAGAGGUUAAUAUGGUAAACGGAAAGGGCACCGAGAGUCCCUUUAAUCUAAAUGAUUUGGCUAUGGCUAAUGCUUGCAAGUAUAGUGGUAAGACGAUACCACUGGUUUAUCAAAUAGCCUUGGUUAUUAAAUGGAUAAUUGGAUUGUUUGGACUUGGUUUUACUUGGACAUUAAUGGCGGAAAGUGUAAGCUGAGCCGUGGAAGGUGGCGAUCCCGAGGGAUCAAAACUGGAAACACAUAUUUACCAAUAUAAGGGGUCUUCGAUGGCCACGUACGAGUGGCACAUUUAUAUUACAGGGAUGUACUAGUCAUCCUAGGGGUAUUUCCUGGUCAUGCGGCUACAUGCACUGGGACUCUUUCAGCAGGGGGAGCUGAACCCAUAUGGCCCAUGGGUAGUAGGACGGCUAAGCUACACAAUUUAGGUUAAGGUUUUCAAUGGCAUGCUAAACUCGAUCCCUUUUACCAGUACUUAUAAAUGUAUAGUUGUUUACAUUGGAUGGUUUUCACUUGGUUUUGAUAAAUGGUAUUACCUUAUCCUUAUCUCGAGAUUCAUGCUAGUGUUCACCUACUAACCCGUCUACUGGCAACUGUAUACCCAUGCUAUGUAAGAAUCGGAUGUUCGACUCCUCUUUCAUAGUACUUGAUUCAGGGACAGCUUAUUAGAUUGAAGUAGUGAGCUUCCAUCCUUUUGGAAGGUAUCAUUUCAUGUUGGACAGUCUUAGACUUUUUAUUUUCUUUCCAGAUAUUGGUUUUGGCCAUGGUUAGGGGCAUGUCCCAAUCGAAUAUUUGUGUUCUUUUGGAUAGAGGUUUUGAAAUGCCCCGAUACUAUACCAUAAGCGUCAUAUGGUGCUUACAAUCCUCAAGGAAAACAAGCUAACCCAUGACUGGUACCUGCUGUGAGCACUGAAUAAUAAUAAUAUAGAAAAUAUAUGCAGAAGUUAGGCUGAAAUUGCCAUAAGGUUCAUAAACUGAAAACAAAUACUGAAUACUGAUAAUAAUACUGAAAAAUUAAACAUCUGUCUAUAAUAGUCUAGUUCGAAAGCCUCUAACUGUCUAAAUAUGCAUACUAAACUACUAAAAUGUUGAAAUAAAUAACUCUAUCCUCCAAAUAUGAGGACUUACCACUAUAACUACUACUGAUAACCUGAGCUACUAAGUACGGUCAGGAGCCCGUGCGUCUGAACCUAUGAUAUAAGACAUCAUAUCACAAAAGGAAGAGUAUACAUCAGUACUUUAAAUGUACUGGUAUGCUAAGUGAGGUAGGCUGAUACACAUGGGUUCAUAUGCACGAGAUAAUAACUGACUGAAUGAACAUCAUGAAGUAACUGAAUAAGAGGACAUGCAAAACUGUAACUACUGAACAUGCUAACUAUGCAAUAUUGUUCAUAUAACCCCUGUCUAAAUUAGACUAAAACUAAAGUACUGAGUUCUGGUAACUGAAUACUGAUAAUUGAGGUUUAGACUGAUACUGAGGUACUGAAUUCUGAUGGCUAAGUAACUGAUAACUGAUAUCUAUGGUUCUGUAGAAAUAUCUGAGUUCUUUACUGAAUCUUGAGACUGUACUGAUUACUGAGUACUGAAUACUGAAAAUGUAACUGUGGAAGUAUUCAUCUAACUGACAUACCCCGAUUAUAAACUGAGUUGGGGUCCAACUUGUGACCCCAGUUGGAAGGGUGUUAGCACCUUGCCAAGGGAUACCAACAAUGUUGUGUCAACCCUAAUCUGGCAGAAAGACUUAUGAAAUAUAUAUAUGUAUAUAUAUAUAUGAUUGUGUCAACCCUAAUUUGGCAGGAGGAUGACUUACCCUAUGCUGGCUACGUAGUUCUUUAAUGCAAGGGCUUCUACUAAGGGUCAAACCCUCUGCUGGCAGGAAUGUGGGUUCGCUCGGUGUUGAAUCCUACUCCCUAUUGAAUAGACACUGAACUAAUCACUAGACUGUUCUAGGCUUGACUGAACUAUUACUAAUCGUGUUGACUGACUGAACUGGACUGAGUUCACUAAAUUCUGUAACUGACUGAGUACUACUGUUCGAGACGUUACUGAGACUAUAUAUAGGUACUGUAAUUCUAGGUAAAAAACUAUAUUGUCGGGUAUUGAAUAUCCCCAAGACUCGAUAGCAUCAAUAGUAAAAAAUGGUAAAAUCUAAAAGCAUUACAUUAAUUACUUAUUCACCAUGCAUUCAUUUAGACAUUUUGUCAAAUACUUGAAAGGCAUGAACUUGUACAUGAAAGGGACCACAUGAUAACAUGUCAUGAAUUCACUACUCAACUUACAUAGGCAUUCUAUCAAACACUUGGGGAGCAUAACUAAUACACAUGGGAUUCAUCAAGAUAUAAACAUCAUGUCUACAACAUUCAACUUGCCAAUUCAAGGAUUUCACAUGAGGAUCACAUAAUUCUACUUACUUGCUAAUUAAUUCACUUGAAACUUUGUAAUGAAUCUUGAUUUGAAAACCAUACAACAAUACAUACAUAAACACAAUCCAAUUCAAACAUGUAAAUCAUGAAAUCAAUAAACUUAUAGUUUUAAAAGGGUUCUUGAACUCCAAGGUUGGAAGGAAACCCAAGGAUGAACACCUAACAUACCUUGAUUGUUAAUUUCUUGAAAAUUGUAGCAAAUUUCUUGGAACUUGACCUUGAAUUUGAUGGAUUAGGGUCUGUUCUUGAGAGGAUUUUGAGAGAUAAUGAGUGCAUUUUUCCCUUUUUGGGGCUUAAUCUCGUAUUUUAGCUAAAUUGGGUGAGGAAAAAUGACACAAUUACCUUUGGAAAUUUGGAUUUUUAAUGAACGAAAAUUUCCCAGUGACGCGAUACCCGAUGCGCCGUAUCGAUGGGAUCGAUUUGAUGGCCAAUGCGACAUGUCAUAAUCGCGUUAGCAUACUGGAAAUUAGACUGAAGGCUUUGCCCAGCGACACUAUUGCCGAUGUGUCGCAUCGAUAGGGUCUACGUGAUGGAUAAGGCGCCGUGUUGAGGGUGAUUUAAUGAUGCUUGACACUGGGGACAAUACUAUCAAUGAGAUUACCGAUGCGUCGCGCUGAGAUCGCAUCGAUUCACUAUUUUUGACAUCCAAUUAAGCUUCUAACGACGUUCGAAAAAUCCAAAACUCUUCCAAGGUGACCUUUUGACAUCUCUGAUCAUGAAUUGACUUAAAAAUCAAUAUUUUAAGGUCGUAAAGAUUGAAAAUAGGAUCAUCUACUUUUGAAGGCUAAAAAUGUUCUAAGUCUUAACACUUAGCUGAAUUUUUCUAAGUCUUGGACCCCUUUUGGUAUGCUAUAAAGGACCGAAAUGACUAGGAUUUGAGCGGUCUUACAAUAUCUCCCCCUGAGAACAUUCGUCCUCAAAUGAGACUAAUUAAUCUGAGAAUACUGAUAGAUUAAGUUUAUAUGCUGAACAUGCAAAACUGAAUCAUAAUUACAUGACUGGAACUGCUGAUAAACUGAGUUUUCAUGCUGAACAUGCACAACUGAAGCAUGAUUACAUUACUGAAGUAAUUUAUGAAUGCAUGACUGUCAUGAGGAUGAUAUGCAAUGGUAAUUAAUACCAAGCUUGUAAAGGUAAACUGAGCAUAGAACUAAGUAAAUCAAAGAAAGAUUGUUACCUCAAGCUGAUUAUGAGUGUGUAGAGAAAAAAUAAGGAUACUUGGUUCACAUGUCUGCCCUCGCUUCCUAAGUAGCUCCAUAAACGGACUGAUUCCGCCCAAGAACUUUUGCCAAAGGAACUUCUUUGUUCCUCAGUACGCAAAUCUGGUGAUCAAGGAUUUAGACUGGGACUUUCUUGUAAGAGAGAUUGUUCUAGACAUCUACACUCUCUAUAGGGACUACAACUGCUGGGACACGAAUGCAUUUCUUUAGCAAGGAGACUUGGAACACUGGGUGUAUUAAAGCUAAGUCUGAAGGCAACUCAAGCUCGUAAGGUACCUUUCCGAAAUGGCUGAAAAUUCUGUAAGGACCGAUAUAUCAAAGACUGAGCUUUCCCUUCUUGCCAAACCUCUUCACUACCUUCAUGGGAGAGAUUUUCAAGUACACAUAAUCACUAAUCUCAAACUCUUUCUUCUCACAUCAUCAUAUGAUUUUUAUUGGUCUGAGCUAUCUUAAGCCUCUCCCUGAUCAACUGAACCUUCUCUAAGGCAUCAAAUACUAAGUUAGGCCCUGCUAAUGCAGUCUCACCUACCUCAAACCAACCAAUGGGAGAUCUACAUCUCCUCCUAUAAAUCACCUCAAAUGGAGCCAUCUGAAUACUGGAGUGAUAGUUGUUAUUAUACGCAAACUCAAUCAAAGGUAAGUGAUCGUUCCAACUACCCUUAAAGUUAACGACAGAUGCUCUCAACAUAUCUUCUAAAGUUUGAAUAGUCCUUUCUACUAGACCAUCUGUCUGAGGGUGAAAGGUUUUACUGAGGUGGACUUAGGUACCAAGACCCAUUUGGAAGGCUUUCGAAAAGUAAGAGGUGAACUGUGUACCUCUAUCUGAAAUGAUGGAUAAUGGAACUCUGUGCAAUCUGACCAACUCUCUAACAUAGAGCUUGGCAUAAUCCUCGGAUGAAUAGGAAGUGUGGACUGGCAAGAAAUAAGUGGAUUUGGUCAUCCUAUCUACAAUUACCCAAAUCAAAUCAUGCUUGUAACGAGUACGAGGUAAACCCAUCACAAAAUCUAUGUUCACUUCCUCCCACUUCUAUGUGGGAAUACUAAACUCCUGCAUGGAACCGCUAAGAUUUUGGUACUAAAUCUUCACCUGCUGACACAUAGAGCACUUAGCUACAAACUCUGUGAUGUUUCUGUUCAUCCUACUCCACCAAUAGAUCUCUCGCAAAUCGUGGUACAUCUUAGUGGCCUUGGGUGAAUCAAGUAUCAUGCACCAUGCGCCUCUACAAGAAUCUGUUGUUUCACUCUAUCCACACAUGGCACACAUAAUCUACCCUGGAAACACAAUACACCAUCUCUCUCUUGAAAGAAAACCUCUACUUUCUGAACUCUGACUGACUCUUUCAGCUUAACUAAAUUGGGAUCCCUAUCCUGCUUUUCUUUCACCUCAAAAACCAAAGAAGAUUCUAAACUAUUCUGCAAAAUACACUACCCUCAUCUAAAUCAACCAAAUGGACACCUAGACUGGCAAGUUGAUGAAUUUCCUGAACUAACUUCUUCAUACCAUCCUCAACGUGAGUAACACUAUCCAUGGACAACCUGCUGAGAGCGUCAGCCACUAUAUUGGCCUUUCUCGGUGAUAAAGAACACUCAUGUCAUAGACUUUCAACAACUUUAACUACAUUCUAUGAAAUAGGUUUAGGUCUUUUUGAGAAAACACAUACUGCAAGCUUUUGUGGUCUGUGAACACAUCAACAUGUACCCCGUAAAAAUAGUGCCUCCAAAUCUUUAAGAAAAACACUCCAGCUGCUAACUCAAGAUAAUGGGUAGGAUAAUUCUUUUCAUGGAGCUUAAGUUAUCUAGAGGCAUAGGCUAUGACCUUACCUCUCUCCAUCAAAACACACCUCAAACCAACUGUGAAAGCAUCACAAUAUACAAUAAACUGUCUAAACUAUCUGGUAAAGUCAAAACUGGGGUUGUAGUGAGUCGAGUCUUUAACUCCUGAAAACUCUUCUCACAAGAAUCUGACCACUGAAAUUUUAAUUUUUCUGAGUUAAUCUGGACAUGGGGGAUGCAAUAGAUGAAAAUCAUUCAACAAACCAUCGAUAAUAUCCAGCCAAACCCAAAAAACUCUUGAUAUCUAUUAGAGAGAUGGGUCUAGACUAGUUUCUCAGUACUUUGGUCCUUUGAGGAUCAACUCUAAUGCCCUCACCGAAAAUUAUAUGGCCAAGAAAAGAUACUGAUCUUAGCUAAAGUUCAUACUUACUGAAUUUGGCGAACAACUGAUGGGCUCUGGGGGUCUACAAUACUAUUUUGAGAUGCUCUACGUGAUCAUUUUCACUGCGGGAGUAGACAAGAAUGUCAUUAAUAAAGACUAUAAUGAACAUGUUCAAGUACUAAUUGAACACACAGUUCAUCAAGUUCAUGAAAGCUGUUGGGGCAUUGGUAAGGCUAAAUGACAUGACUAGAAAUUUGAAGUGAAUAUAUCGAGUUCUGAAAUUUAUUUUUGGAAUAUCACAUUCUCUGACUCUAAGUUGAUGAUAGCCUGAUCUGAGGUCUAUCUUAGAAAAAUAACUGGCACCCUGAAGUUGAUCAAACAAGUCAUCGAUUAUGGGAAGUGGAUACUUGUUCUUGACUGUGACUUUGUUCAAAUGAUGGUAGUCAAUACUCAUUCUGAGAGAACUAUCUUUCUUAUGCAUGAAUAAAACUGUCGCGCCCCAAGAGGAGACACUAGGCCUGAUGAAUCCCUUAUCUAGAAGGUAUUUAGACUAUUCUUUUAGCUAUUUGAGUUUUGUUGGAGCCAUUCUUAUGGCGGAAUAGAGAUAGGUUGAAUAUUUUGAAGAAGGUCUAUUCCGAAGUCAAUUUCCCUCUUGGGAGUAACUCCAGGAAGAUCUUCAAGAAACACAUCUGGAAAUUCACAUGCUAUUAAAACUGACUCAAGAUUAGGGGUCUUGGACCUAGAGUUAUUAACUCGAACGAGAUGAUAGACAUACCCUUUAGAUAUUAAUUUUCUCGCCCUAAGGUAGGAAACAAGCUAACCCCUAAGUGCUGAAGUACUACCUCUCCUUUCUAGGAUAGGUUCAUUCGAGAACUAAAAAUAGACAACUCUGUUUCUAUAGUCAACUGAAGCACAUGAAUGAAGCCGAUCCAUGCCAAGAAUGACGUCAAAAUAUGUCAUCUCUAACUCUACUAAGUCUGCUGAAGUAACUUUUUCAGAUACCAUAACCAAAUAGUUCCUGUAUACCCGUCGAGAUAUGAUAGACUUACCCACUAGGGUAGAGACUAAGAAGGGCUCUGCUAGGAUUUCGAGACUGACUCCAAAUUCAAUAGAUAUAUAAGGAUUUACAAAGGAUAAAGAAGCUCCUAAAUCUACCAAAUCAUAAACAUGUAACAUACCAGUGACCACAUCAGGAGAACUUUCCUGAUACUAUCGAAACUAAAGUGCAUAGAGCCUAUUUGGCCGAUUCCCACUGGUGGCACUGGAAGCGACACCUUGCUGAGAUAGGCGAUCGAACUAAGCUGGGGGAUAAUUAUGCUGACUCUGUUAACUCACCUAAGUACACUCUCUGACCCUAUGGCCUAGCUUACCACAUCCGAAGCAUACAUCACGGUCAGCUUUGCAGACACCUUGAUGGUUUUUGCCACACUUCUGACAAAGAGGAUUUAUUCGAACGCUGCUAACACUACCCUGAGAUUUAGAGCCUGGUGCCCUAUCCUUAUUACCAUUUCUGAAUUAAGGCACCAAAGCACUAGUUGAGGAUGAAACUGGAAUUGAUGAUUUUGGGCGAAACUAAGAACGAUUUCUACCCUCUGACUUAGGCUAAGUGAAGUUAAAGCUACCUGUUCUAGUCCUCUUGUUCUCCUUCUCUUUCUCUUUAGUAUUUUACUCUUCUAUAUGCUGAGCAUGGACCAUCAACCUAGCCCAGUCCAUAUCCUUAAUCAACAUUGCGGUCCUACACUCUUUGACCACACUGUCCGACACACUAGACAUGAACUUACUCAUCUUAGAUCUGAUAUCAACUACCAAAUGUGGAGCAUAUCUGGCCAACUGAGUAAACUUGAAAAAAUACUCCUUCACUAUCAUGUUUCCCUACUUCAAGUUAAUGAAUUCUAAUACCUUAAAUUCCCUCAACUCCAAUGGAAAGAACCUAUCUAGAAAGGCAAUAGCAAAUUUCUCCUAUUCUAUAGGCCCCUCAUCUAUGGACCUAUCUGCCUCCACUACUUAAACCACAUAUGAGCUACAUCCUACAACUGAUAUGCAGCUAACUCAACACUCUCACAAGUGGUUACCCCCAUAAUAUCUGUGAACUUCUACACUAUGUCAAGGAAUCCAUGUGGGUCCUCUUUAGACUUAGACCAUGAGAAUAGAGGAAGGUUCAUUCGAGUGAAGUCCUGAAUUCUAACAACAGUAAUAUUGGCCACUGGGUUGGCUUGAACAGCUGCUGGGCAUUCAUUCUGAGCUGUCAUAGAAUAGGCUAGAGUGGUGAAAGCUGCUCUAAAUUCUGUGUGAGAAACAUGCUUGUCUAGGGGAUCUGCCUAAACGGGCAGAGAUGCUAGUUGGUUUUCCAUUCUUCUUCUGUUAGUCUUUUUGGGAGGCAUAUUCUAUAAUUAGAAGAGAAAAUUGGAUUAGACAGAGAGUUUAACUUGAGUUCAUGCUCGUUUAUACGACAUGAAUACUAAAAGGAAGGGAAACUUUUCCUAAAAAUGCCUCAUAGACUCUUGUCCAUAAGUAUGGCACGUUAUUCACCCUUGCACAAGACUCAAUUUGACGUGGCCUUUAGACUCCCUAGGACUUUGUUGAACCUUAGGCUCUGAUGCCAAUUUUGUAAUGCCCUGAGACUGCACCCUGGGUGUCAUACGAUGUUUAUAAUCCCGAAAGACCACAAGCUAACCCAUGACUGGUACCUGUUGUGAGCACUGAAUAAUAAUAAUACUAAAAAUAUAUGUGGAAGUUAGGUUGAAAUUUUCAUAAGGUUCAUAAACUGAAAACAAAUACUGAAUUCUAAUAAUAAUACUGAAAAAUUAAAUAUCUGUCUGAAAUAAUCUAGUCCAAAAGCCUCUAACUGUCUGAAUAAAGAGUUGAUAGGAUAAGUCACCAACUAACUCUGACUACUGAACAUACUAAACUACUAAAAUGUUGAAAUAAAUAACUUUGUCCUUGAAAUAUGAGGACUUACCACUAUAACUGCUGCUGAUAACCUGAGCUGUUAAGUAUGGUCAGGAGACCAUGCGUCUGAACCUAUGAUAUGAGACAUCAUAGCACAAACGAAAGAGUAUACAUCAGUACUUUGAAUGUACUGGUACGCUAAGUGAGGUAGGCUGAUAUACAUGGGUUCAUAUGCACGAUAUAAUAACUGACUGAAUAAACAUGGUGAAAUAAUUGAAUAAUAGUACAUGCAAAACUAUAACUAUUGAUCAUGCUGACUAUGCAAUACUAUGCAUAUAACCUCUGUCUAAAUUAGACUGAACUGAAGUACUAAGUUCUAGUAACUGAAGACUGAUAACUGAGGUUUAGACUGAUACUGAAGUACUGGAUUCUAAAAGCUAAGUAACUGAUAACUGAUAGCCAUGGUUCUAUAGAACUAACUGAGUUCUUUACUAAAUUUUGAGACUGAAUACUAAAACUAUAAUUAUGGGAGUGUUCAUCUAACCGACAUACCCCAAGUAUAAACUGAGUUGGGGUCUAACCUGUGACCCUAGUUGGAAGGGAGUUAGCACCUUAUCAAGGGAUACCAACAAUGCUGUGUCAACCCUAAUCUGACAGGAAGACUCAUAAAAUGUAUAUAUGAUUGUGUCAACCAUAAUCUUAAAGGAUAACAACUUACCCUACACUGGCUACGUAGUUCUGUAAUGCAGGGAUUGUUACUAAGGAUCAAACCCUCUACUGGAAAGAAUGCCCUCAUCCCUGGGUUCGCUCGGUGCUGAAUCCUACUCUCAAUUGAAUAGACACUAAACUGAUCACUAGACUGUUCUAGGCUUGACUGAACUAUUACUAAUCAUGUUGACUGACUGAACUGGACUGAGUUCACUAAAUUCUGUAACUGACUAAGUACUACUGUUUGAGACGUUACUGAGACUAUAUAUAGGUACUGUAAUUCUAGGUAAACAACUAAAUUAUCGGGUAUUGAAUACCCCCAGGACUUGAUAGCAUCAAUAGUAAAACAUGGCAAAAUCUUAAAAGCAUUACAUUAAUUACUUAUUCACCAUGCAUUCAUUUAGACAUUUUGUCAAACACUUGAGAGCCGUGAACUUGUACAUGAAUGGGACCACAUGAUAACAUGUCAUGAAUUCACUACUCAAUUUACAUAGGCAUUAUAUCAAACACUUGGGGAGCAUAAUUAAUACACAUGGGAUUUAUCAAGAUAUAAACAUCAUGGCUACAACAUUCAACUUGUCAAUUCAAGGGUUUAACAUAAGGAUCACAUAAUUCUAUAUACUUGCUAAUUAAUUCACUUGAAACUUUGUAAUGAAUCUUUAUUUGAAAACCAUACAACAAUACUUACAUGAACGCAAUCCAAUUCAAACAUGUAAAUCAUGAAAUCAAUAAACUUGUAGUUUUAAAAGGGUUCUUGAACACCAAGGGUGGAAGGAAAUCCAAGGAUGAACACUUAACAUACCUUGAUUGUUAAUUUCUUGGAGAUUGUAGGGAAUUUCUUGGAACUUAAUCUUCAAUUUGAUGGACUAGGGUUUGUUCUUGAUAGGAUUUUGAGAGAUAGUGAGUGUAUUUUGCCCUUUUGAGGCUUAAUAUCGUGAUUUUGCUGAAUUGGUUGAGGGGAAAAUGACUUAAUUACCCUUGGAAAGUUAGAUUUUUAAUGAGAAAAAAGUGCGCAGUGAUGCGAUACCCAACAUACCGCAUCGAUAGGAUCAACACAAUGGCCAACACAAUGCGUUGUGAUCGCAUUGACUCACUGGAAAUUGCACUGGAGGCUUUGCCCAGCGAUACUACAGCUGACGCGCCACGUUGAUAGGAUCGACGUGAUGGACGAUGCGUCGUUUUGAGGGUGACGUGAUGACGCUUGACUCUAGGAUGAUAUUGUCGACGCAAUUACCGAUGUGUUGCACUGAGAUCAUAUUGAUUCACUAUUUUGGACAUUCAAUUAAGCUUCUAACGACGUUUGAAAAAUCUGAAAUUUACCCAAGGUGAUCUAUUGAUAUCUCUGAUCAUGUAUCGACUUAAAAAUUGACAUUUUAAGGCCUUAAAGAUUGAAAAUAGGAUCGUCUAAUUUCGAAGGCUAAAAAUGUUCUAAGUCUUAACACUUAGCUAAAUUUUUCUAAGUCUGGACCCCUUUUGGCAUGCUAUAAAGGACCAAAAUAACUAGGAUUUGUGGGGUCUUAUAGGCUUUAUGGUACUUCUGGGGGUUGGAAUGGGCGAGAUCGGUAUUGGUGAUAGCCUUGGCAUUGGAAUAAGUUGGGAGGCUGGCAUCAUCAGACAUAAUUUCUCACUGAUCCAUCGUGUUACAUUUUGGGUUUGACUUUCAUAUUAUGAUUCGAUAGUCCCUUUGGUUUAGUAUGGUAUGGAGAGUUGUUUUGGUAUGGACAGACUUGGUUCGGUCGGUCAAGGUUGUGACCCUAUCCCAAAGUCUUCAUGAGAGCAUUGCUCAAUCUUGUUAUAUGCUCAAAAUUCAACUCAUCUAAGGCUGUAUAAGGUAGUUGGGUUAGGUUAAGGGGGUGGCCCCCGGUCCUAGGUGGACUUGGGAUACCUAUUAUGACAAGGCCCCUAUUUGGGUUGUGUCAUAUAUUAGGCUAAACAAAUGCAAAAAUGAGAAUUUUCUGAAUUCACGUAUUUACACUAACUCUGGCUCAACUGGAUCAUGAACCAUAUCGUAGCUAGAAUAGAGUACCCAACUCACUAUCAACAUCAAGAUUAAGACCAUGAUCGAGUGAUGAACUAUAUAAAUCGGAAGAGCGAAUCUCAAAUUUAUCAACCUCAGGAUUGGGCUAUAGAUAAAAUAGCGAAUGCUAGAAUCUUAAUGAACCAGAAUAGCAAGCCUUGGACUUUUCCAUAUCAGAAAUGGGCAAUAGGAUAGAAUUAACAACUCUAGAAUCACAACAAUCCAUGGAAGGCCAACUUACUUUCACUUCGUCUAAAAAAUCUAUCCAACUUUACUAAUUGAGAAGGAAAAUAACCAACCUUACCUUAUAAAUAGAAAAAGAAUCGAGCAACCGAGUUAGUUGUCUAAGCCAACAAAGGAGAAUUGUGAGGAAGAAAAUUCUAACUAGAUAAUGCUAGUCUAGCUGUCUAUUAUGUAAGAAUCAAUUAACGCUAAAAUUAUGACAACAAUAACAAUAGUAUAAGAUGCAGGUGGCAUAAAAAUGGAAAACAUAACUUAUACUACCCUAAGGUUAUAAUAAGACCAUGUACCAAAGGAAAAUGGACUUCAAUCCAAAUGCUACACCCCAAGGGAAAUACCAUAUUGAUCUACUUAAUACACUAUAAAAAAAUUAUCUAAGGGGGUAGACAUGUAUGCAUAAAGAUCUACACAGAGGAUACAACAACCAAUAUCGUAACAUCAAGGUAUAAAAUCACUGAUGGGUAUCAGAAACCCAACUCAACCCAAAUAAGAAGUAAAAAAUAAUAAGUCAAAUCGUGCCUUUAUUAAUGGAGCCCAAAGUCAUAGUCCUAACGUGCCAAAAGAAGUAUGAGCCUGAGGAUGUCCAAAUCCAAACUAAGCCUACGAACCACCAACUAAGGCACUAAGUGCACUACCUCUAACCAAAGGUACCACAACACUAUGAGACUAAUUUAGAUAAACUGAAUGACUAGUAAUCCCAUGUUGGGGACACGCUAUGGACUAGUGAUUGGUCUCUAUGUAGUUAUAAAAAGACCCUAAAGCUCUAACCUAGUGACAAAUAUGAGUCGCCCCUAACUAGUUGACCAAAUAAUGCCUAGGACACUCUCUACUGAAGUGAUCAUCCUCCCUACAAUCACAACAUGCCUUAGGAGCUCUAGGAGGAGAGGAACAUAUGUUGACCUAGUCUGGACAGCCAACUCACACUUGGGGCACUACGUAGACCAAUGACCAACCUCUCCACAAUUAAAACAUGCCCCUGGAAAUCUUGAAUGCACUGCAACCCCUGAUACAGAAUGACCAAAAUAUCUAUCCCAAAUACUCCACAAUGUCUGGUGAGAACUUUGCCCACUAUGACCACCACCAGUGAUCUAUGAGCCAUCUAUAGUAUGAGGUGCUAUUUGUUUUAUUUGAUUGUAUCAAAAUGCCCAAUAAAUUGGGAUUUCCUAAUUGGUCCAGGUUAUUUAGAGAUAAGAAAAUCAUUUAUGUUGAAGAAGAUGAGAUACUAGAGAAUGAUUUGGGGUUCUUGUAGUAUGAAACUAAGCAGGCUACCUCUACGAACCCAAAAGGCGGCAACUGAUGCUGACCUCUAUUGGGAGGAUCCAUACCUUAAAUGAAGUACCACUAACAAUGUACUAAUGACAUGUCCUCAUACCACCACCUUUAUAUAUCUCAAGACAUACCCUCUUUGUGGUUCUCAUGUGACCAACAAACUGAGGAAAAGAUGACCCAACACUAUCAAAUGAUUUGACGCUAAGCAGAGUGGCAAAGUUAAACCCUCUAAUAAAUCCACACACCAUCUCAUGCUCUGAAGGAUAUAACACAACAAUAUGUAUAUCCUACUUGAGAAACCCAAUAUUGUACUCUAAAAUAGACAUAAAACCCUACUGAACAUCCAGAAACCUGACUUUACUCUGAGAACUACUUGAUGUACCAAAAAUUAGCUCCUACUGAUAGGUAUUCAUUAAAAUACUCAAAAUCCCUGACGCAGAAUCCUAAAGAACUGAGGUAGUCACAAACUCUACCAGAUCCUGGCUAGCCUCAAAUUCUUCGACUAACGCUAAAGAUCUUUGACAUUACUCUCUUACUCCCUAGCCCGACGCUGAGCUAAAACUUAACAAAUAUAUGCAAAAGUCUCAUCCGCAUUUAUUAGUAACCUCAUGUCAUCCUGUUAAGAAAAAGUGGAGUCAAAGAAAGCACUAGAGGUUCAUAGAAAUAAAAACACACAAUAGGGAGUCACGAAUAGAAUUUCCUAAGAAUGCCCUGUAGCCUCCCAAAGAUAGGAUACAUACAUUUACUUAUUGAUAUGUACGACUCUACUAGACACUUAGCUCUUGUACCAACACAUUGGCAGACCUGGAUCUGGUGCAAAUUUGUCAUGAACUAAUUUUGUAGGGCAUGAUAGCACCUACUAUAACCCACCUGUGGGCAACCUAAUCCAUAAUUUGGAACAACUAGUGACAGACUAUUAAGAGAAUAAAAGAAAGCAACAGAAUGAAUAUUAUAAGGAGAUUAAUAUAUAUAUAUAUAUAUAUAUAUAAAGCAACCCCAAGACCUUGUGAAUUCGUACAAUUGCUUCUAAUACAAUCAUGUACAAGAGGGAAAUACAAAAUAAAUAUAUAUGUACAUACUAUCUAUAAAAUAAAAAAAGUCAAAUCAAUACGAGGGAUAGCUGGAAUAACGUCAAAGCUCACCCUAAAUAUCUAAUUCAUUGCUGCUCCGCACGAUGCACACAUCCAUUGUAAGAACUUAUACUAUGAUAUGCAAGUUGCAAAAGUGUAAUAUGAGUUCCAAAGUCAUGGUACUCAGUAGGCAUCGAUCGACUGAGCUCCAAAGACAAUGCAAGCAUAAAUAACAUGUAAAGUGAGAAUAUAAACUACAAACAACUAACCAAUAAAACCAAACAAUAUAAUACUAAUUGAUCAAUAAGGAUAAACUGUCCUAUUCUAUCAUUAUUAAGGAACUAAAGUGCAAUACCAUAUAUCCCUUGCUAAUAUACAAAGGUAGAGCGAAAGAACGAGAUAUAGUAAUAAUACAAGGCCAAAGAAUACAUAUACAAUACGAAUAGAUAAGGAAAGAGAGGGAUAUACGGGGAUACUAUGUUUGUAUGUGUCUGUGUAUAUAUACAUAUAUAGGGGUAAACUCAAAGGUAAUAACCUGAUAGAUACAAACUAAUAUCUUGAGGAAUCCCAACCAAGUAUGAAAUCUAAUACUAGCAUAAUCAAGCCUCUAAUCAAACUAUGACUAAUCAUGAGGUAACCUAUCAAUAAUGUAACUUACCAACAAUAGAGAAAGAUAAUAAAUCAGAAAUAUAUAAUCAAUCACGGGUACCAGUCCAUAACUAUCCUACCACAAACUAACCAUAAACCAAUGAUAAAGUAACCGGCUAGUUCGAACAAACAAUAACCUAUCUAGCCCACCCAUAAGAGCGAAAUGUGCAAACAUACACUCAAAAAACAACAAUCAUAGCUUAUAACUAUAAAACCUCUCAUAAGGUCGAUAGACAUAAGCACCAAAUAAUUAUAUUAGUGAUAGGAAAUUCAUAUGAAUGAAUAUACAUAAACCAAUAGUAAUCAUAUCUAAUUUGAAUGCCAAAUAUACUAAGUGUAUAUACCUGUUUUAGCUCAGUAGCUUGCAAAGGCAAGACCUAUAAUGACCAUCUUUCUUUGGCACUGUGGCUCAUGGAUGAAGGGGCCCACUAGGGACUCGAGAUAUCUAUAUACACUGUCUGGUCCAAAACUAAGACUUUCAAUAACCAUUAUAAUUAUAUAUAUAUAUAUAUAUAUAUAUAUAUAUAUAUAAGUAUAAUGAGUUCAUAAACUUGAUCCAUGACUAAAAUAGUGCAAAUUUAUAAAUCCAUUGCUUGAGAUUGAUGUCGGGGCUAAAUCUGCAUAAUAGUGUAAAAAGAGUAUGAAUCUCUCUUGAUAAAGUAAAUAGUAAUGAUAAAGUGUAACGCACCGAGACUACCCCAUAGAUGUCACAUGGUACUUAGGACCACAAGUGAUCCCAAGCUAACCCGUGUACUGGCAUAACUCGUGAGCAACUAAAUAAAAUACAUAAAACUUGAAGUAAUAAGCAAAAGAAAAGUCUUUAGCUGGACAUCUUAAAAAAACUGUUAAAACAAUUACAACUCUGGUUACAAAAAACAAAAUUGAAAUCAAAUACAUCAACUAUACUGACUGUCUAUGAAGCCUCUACUAGUAUUGACUAUAGGUAGCGGGACAUGACCCCCAGCUAUCCUGAAUCAAUACUACUGAAUAAAGAAAACAAGAUGCUACUCGAACUAUGAUUGACUUGAAACCUCGAAUCAAAAAGACUCAUCACCUGCCCACUGGAAGUUGUAAACUAUCUGAUUAUAAUAUGCGCGAUACAACUUGUACCUACAUUAUGAGAUAAUGUAACACAUAGACAUAUAUAUGGAUCAGUACUUUUAGAAUAUACUGAGUAUAUGGGGGUGAAUGUAUAAGUAAAAAUAAUAACUUAACGUACAUAUAAACCUUUAAACAAUGCAUACAAAGUGUAAAUGACUCACCUUGACUUGAGUAAAAAGGGGUUGCAAAAUAAUAAACAUCAGUAAUAAAGUAUAAAGACAAUCUUUGUGAGCCAUAAUACUUAGUUUCUAAAAGCUUUACUUUUUAUUCUUUCUUAGGGAGUUUCUUCUAACUGACAUAAACCAUGUGAGUUAUCAUGAAGUCCAACGUCUUAUCCACGUUGGAGAGAGAUGUCCUACCCUUGCCAUCAGAAUAAGACCUUAACUUAAGUGAUCACUAUACUUAACCCAUAUUGGGAAUAUAAACCUACAAUGGCUCAUAGUUCUGGGGAAUGCGAUCUUAGACUCAUAUCCAACUCGAUGCUAAAUACUACUCCCUUAUUACUUAUAUAUUUAAACUUUAGGAAAUCCACCUUAAAAUAGUAUAAGGGUUUAUAGAAUGAAAAACAGUUAUGAUUCUCUUUCUAUAAACCAUAAUUAGGAUGAACAAACUUGGAUUCCAUAUCUUAUCUUAGGAUCAAAAGAUCACCAUCAAAGAAGCUAAAGAUCAUAGUCUUCUUGAAAUCUCAAAAUCGUUCUUGGUAUAAACUUAUCAAAUAAAACUUAAGAGCAUGAUCCUCUUGAAAUCUCAACACUUUACUUAAGGCUUAAAAUCCAUGCUUUAAACUUAUGGUCAAUUUAUAACCAAACUUUAUGAUCAAUAACAAUCUUGAAAUACUUCAACAAUAUCAAGUCAAGAUAGUGCAAUCUCAUUCAUAAUAUAAAUCUUAUAAGUUAAAAUAUAAAUAUAAGCACUUCUUGACAUACUUAAAGCUUUAAAUCACAUGAUAAUCACAUGCUUCAAGAAAAUAGAAACUUGGGUAUGAACCCUAAUUCAAAACAAGUGACUUAAAUCUUAAAAUCAUGUAAUUUGGGAACAAGGGUGAAAGGAUACCCUUGUUCAUAACCCCACAUACCUGAAUAGGCUUGAUUUGAUGGAGAAAGUUUGACCUUGAAAGCCUUGAAGAUGAUCUUGAAAGAUUUUCUUGGAAUUCUUGGACUAGAGAACAUAAAUUCUUAUUUAUCUUGAAGAGAAUAUAACUUGAAGUUGAAGUUCUUGGGAGGAGGUUAGGGUUUGUUCGUGGAGAGAAAGGCUUUCUUGGAGAAAAAUUAUGAAUAAAGGGGCCAAUAAUGCUCCUUGGGGACUUUAAUUAUGUGUUAUGGAUGAAUUUGAGUGGGGGAAAUGACCCAUUUGCCCUUAAAAUGCGAAACCAAAAGCUGUAAAAUAGGGACGGGAGAUGGACCGUGUGUCGUGGGCUAAUUGCGCGCCCUCACUGCCUCUAUCACAAAAAUGACUAUAGCUUUUUACUUGGGUAUUGGAUUAAGGAAAAAUUGGUAUUGUUGGAAAGAUAAAUCAAUUAUCUACAAUUUGGUGGGUCUUAAGCUGUAAAAUUCUAUGUAUAUCAAAAAUUAUAUACGUUCAAAAUAGACCCCUGUAGAAUUGAAUACCAAACUUUGGAUUAAUCAAAGGCUCUUAGCUCAACUUUGUUCUAAGUGAUUCUUAUGAAUAUUUUUCACCUCGAAAUCCCUUCACACACUUGGAUAAAGAUCAUGACACGUAUAUUCAAAACAAAUUCAUGGGAUUAGAGUUUAUACUCGUAAGAACGAUACUUCAAAGUCUAGCCCAAAAAUGUGAGGUGUUAUAAUUCUUUACAUCUCUGAACAUGAAUUAACUCAAAAACUUACAUCUCGAGGUUGGGAAGGCCAAUUUAAAAGUCCUCUAAGUUAAGAGGCCAAGAAUAUGACUAAUUCUCCAACAGUUAGUAAAAUUUUCAGGUUCUAAGCCUCUUAUGCAUGCACUAGGAGCUGAACUGAACUAAGGAUAAUACGGGGUAUUACAUAAAGAGUGAAAUAGUAAUUGAGAAAAACAAAUCAUGGUCUAGUUUCCAAAAUAAAAUAUUUAGUUUCAAAGAUCAUAUUUCAUCAAAUAAGGUGAUACAAUUUUGGUUGUAAGAGAAUCCAUUUUAAAAGUGCAAGUGAGAAUAGAUCCUUUUGUAGAAAAUAGUAGAAAAAUCAAGGAUUUGGUUGGAAUCAUACCGCUAAGUAAAUGCAAAUUCUCCCAAAGUAUAGACGACAUCACCAGUAUCUAAACAAUACAACUAUAAGCAUUUGUAAACCACAACUACAUCCUCACAAGGGAUAGAAUACUAACUUGGUGCUCAACUGGUAUCAUAAUUAUACCCUCGAGCCGAUAAUAUGCUAUACAAUAUAAUAGGAAAAUAUCUCCUUAAAUACUAAGCAAUAUGCUAAGUCUAAUGCUAAAGGAUUCCUUAUGCAAUUUUAUGGUUAAUCAAGCCCAUCAUCAAAUAUAAUAGGAUUCUACGCCUUAAGAGGUAUUUUAGGCUAAGUUCAAGUCACUUUUAUAUCUUAAAUUCCCUAAAUAGGUUAAGUCAUGCUAUGCUAGUCAUAGACAUAUCCUAUCAUCCUUACCUAGCAUGCAAUCUAUACUAUACACAAUCUCAUAGAGAAAAGUAGAUCGAAGCCUAACUCGAUGUCGAACCGCAUUUUUGAAUCAUUUAUAAUUUUCUCAUACUUUCUCUAGGUUUACAAAAUAAUGUCAUUCUAUCAAAAUAGUAAUCUAUAUAUUAAUAGGAGUCAAACAAUAUUAAUAUUGUUAUAUAAAACUUCGGGCCAAAAAUUGGGUCAGUAAUGAGCCUGUGGGGCCAGUUAACAAAAUUUGAAAAUUAAAUUCGUCAUGAGAUCCCUCGAAGAACAAGGAAUGUGUGCUCAAAAUUUGAGCACAAAUGGACUCCAAAUUGAGGCUCAAAUCAGCCUGGGGAAAUGACGAAAAUAGGAGAGAAAACAAGAAUUAAAUGGAGGAUAUACGGCAGAAACUUUAAAAAAUUAGUAAAAAUUAGUCACUUCAUCAUGAUCAACACAUCCCUAGCUCCAAUUUAUGAUUCGCCACGAGUUAUUUAGCUCCUAUGUUAAUAUUGGUGGAAAAUAGUAGAAAAUAGUGACGAAAUCAGGAAAGAGGGGAUUAUAUAUUGCUAGGAAUAUGGCCUUUACGAAUGUGGAGGCCAAGGCCGUGAAUAGGAUGAUCGUAAUUAUUUACCCUUUGUGAACAUGACCAAAGUAUUGCAUAUGUGAAGUCAAAAAAAAUUACCAUUGCAAACGCAACGAUGAUGAUCACGAUCUCAAAGAAGGAGAAAAGAUUGGGUUGGGUCGACCCUACAUCGCAAAUGUGAUGGGAGGCUCGCGAUCAUGAAGGUCAAUGACUUAAAUCAUCGUAAACGCAAUCAACUACCCACGAACACGAAGAAAAAGGAUGUCUACUGAACAACAAUAGUUUUAUCAAGUUUACUCAAACUUUGACGGGGGAUUUGGGAUUCGUUUGAAACCACAUGCGUGCAAACAAACUAUGCUACCAUAAAAAAUUUAAUAUUUUGGACUCAAUGGGACCAUCAAAAUAUCAUUCAAGAUUGUUUCAAUUAAAUCCAGAUACCAUACCUAGUUCCAUGUUUUAUCAAAUCUUCUUAAUAGUCCAAAAUAAGUCCAGAUUCCCGCGACCUGAACCAAGGGUUACUCUUUCAUAAAAUCAACAUUACGGAGAUGAUAGUGCUGACAGAAUUCUCAUUCGAGUUUGUUUACUAGGAAUGUUGGUUCGAGACUAAUCACUUAACACCAAAAGCUCUAAAAUAGGGAAUUGAGCCUAAAAUCCGAACGAACUAUUCAAUUCUUGAACGAAUAGUUUUGGCAAGUCAUAAAUAACCUAUAGUCACUGUGGAAAGGCUCAAAAUGCUGAAAAUGCAUAGAAAUUGAGAAAAUGACCUAGAGGGUAGUUACAAUGAAGAAUAAAUAUAGGUGACCGGAAAUCUCACAAGAGAAAACAAAGACUUCUAAAAAGAAAAAUUCACAGUUUAGAUCCAAGAACUAAUUUUUACAAUUGCAUGAAUGUUAAAGUGACAAAAAUAACUACAAAUCACAACACACAGAUCACGUUUGGUAUGUAAAACCACUUAAAUAAUUAAGGCAUCAAUCAGAUGACUAGCCACCAAACAAGCGAAAGCAAGAAAGAAUUAUGUGAGCCUUUGAUACUCGAAAGGAGCUUCUUGGCUGAGAACUUUUUUGGAGAUGGAGAAUGACUAUUUUUUAUGUAAUUCUCCAUAUCAUAGUCCUGAAUUUAAUAGAUGCACUAAAUCAGCUUAACCAUAGAUUCAUCCUCUACUUAUUAGACAUUAUAGCCGAAUAAAAAUGCUUGAGGAAUCUGUAGAUAAGGUUCGAAUCAUAAUAUUAACUCCUGAACACUUUCAAUUAUUGAAAAGAUUUCAUCAACAAAGCUAUAAUUAUCUUAUUUUAGCUACUGUUUUAAGAUGAAAAUAUCAAGUCGUAGAUAAGACAUCCAAAAAAUUCAAUGACAUUUAGAAAGUAUAAAUAAGACUCGUCUCAAACUAUUUCAUUACGAUCGAUUUCAACUUUCAAUCCCGAGAAAAUCUCACCAAAGCAGUCAUAAUCUCACAAAUAUUCUAGUAUCAUCCUUACAAUAAUAACUAAAAUUUUUAAUGAUGAAACUUCACAUCAUAUCACUUAAACACGAAAGAAAAGGUGUGAAAGUAUGAAGUGUUCACCUUUUUUUGGAGUAGGAACUUAGGACAUAAAGCAUCAAUCAAACGGACUUCCAGCAGCGGAGUUUCAAUUGAUUCCGUUAGGAUUUAAUUUUUUCUAAGAGUGUAUUCAUCAUGAAUUUUUGGUUACGUGGGAUUAGAUAAUUGUUUCUCUAGAAUCUCCAAAUUUUUCUUCAAAAAUUCUCCUACCCAACCAUUAACUUUCAAUCUAUUUAUAAAGAAAUUGGGGAUGAAAAUGGGGAAAAUAAAGGGAUAAAAAGGCAAUUAGAUGAAUUAAAUUUUGAAUUUCAAAUUAGGGUAAGAAUCAGGGUAUGACAACUUUGAAAUUGCAUAAAUUUGGACGAAUUUGAGGGGAGAUUCAUUUGUGAAUGGGGGGAGGGGGAAUAAAUCCCCCCACCAAACAAUGGAAAUCUCACACCACCGCACUUUAUGGUACUAAUUGAGACAAAUUUUUUCUGAGAAAUUAAGGUUCCAAAUGGUGGAGAUGACUAAGUGGGUUCCAAAGGGUUUUUUGAUGUAAUAUUCUAGGCAAUUCACGUAUUGGGGUGUCGUUUGGGUAAAUUUUAAUAAAGGUUGUAUCGGUGUUACUGUUGUAGCAUUGUUGCUAUUGAAUGUUGAUGUUGUUGGACAUUGUUGUUGUUUACGUUGUGAGAGAGGAGAGAAAGCAUUGAGAGAGAAAGAGGAGAGAGUGCAUGUGUUUCUGUGUAUGUAUAUGUGUUAAGGGGUUUUAUUACCUAAUGUAAUAAAAGGAUUGGGUUGGGUCAAAAAAAUGUAUUUUGGGCUAAAAAAUGGUACGAAAAUUAAGAGAAUAACGGGGAAAAGGUUCAGUUAUAGCUCUAGCCAAUUUAAGUUAAUAAAACAACCAAAAUUAAACUAAUCGAGCCAAAUUGAGACGGAAUUAAUUUUCAAUUUAUUAAACAAGCUUAUCAAAUUCAAUAAUUUUAAAAUAAAUAUUUAAUAAAACAUAAUUGUCUUGUUUAAAAAUUAAGAAAUUAAUUUCACAUUUUAGGAUCAAUUUGUGGAAAAUAACGUAUUUAUAAUUUAAACAAAAUUUCCACUUAAAAAUAAUUUCUAAAAUAUUUUAUUUAAGCAAAAAAUAUAUGAUUCAAUAAAAUUAUACGCAAAACAUAUUAAUUUCGCCAAAAAUUCAAAAGGUAGGCCUGAAAUUAUUUUCAAAAUAACUUAAAACAAUUAUUUUGAAAUUAUUUGAAACUAAGAAACUCGAAAACUAAUUUAGAACCGAGAAGACAAAAAUUAGGUGUCAACAAGAACAAAUCAGAUUAAACUACAAUACCAUCACCUACCUCGAACCAAUCUUGCACAACUCCUCUAAGCCAGAGUUUUGCCCUUCCAUGCAAUUUUUGUUUGCUCUUAGUCUAAAACAUGCAUAUAAACAUAUUAAUGAAAUGACCUACAUGUUGGGAAUUAUAACUCACAUUCAAUUCCUAAGAUCAAGUUCAUGAUUAUGCCUUUCCUGUUCUAGGGCUUUUCUAGCGUAACUCACCUAAAACAAUCAAUUCCAUGAAUUAAUUAGUGAAUCAACGGAAUAUAAGGGUAAGUUAAUCUUUAAUAAUUAAAAUCCAUUAACUUGUUACAUAAUUUCCUUUCUUGCACCAAAAAUAACCAAAUUCAGACCUAAAAUCUUCUUUGAACUCCAUAAAUUAAUAAUUUUAAGACUUAAUUAUCAAUUACAAGAUACCGAACAAGAAAUACUUACCUUAACAAUGCCAAACGACGAAUACUUGGUGCGAAUCGCCCAAAAUCAACCUUACUUUUUCCUAAAAUUAGUUUUAAAAAAUAAACUAUUUUGGGAGAAAAUUUAAUUAAAUAUUUAAUUUUUGUCGCUAUAGCGGCACGUGUAAGUAUAACAGGUGUUGAUCAUGUCUGACUGUCCCUGUUCUCUAUUGUAAUGACAUCCCACUAUAACGGCAUAGAACACCGCUAUAAUAGUGUCAACGAGGUAGAAUGUCUAGCUUCGCACAAAAAUUUUACUAUUUUUGCAGCACAAUUUAAAUCAGGGACAUUCCAAACAAUGUCUUUAAACUAAGAUCAAUUUCAAGAGUUCUACUUACCCAAAUUUGAUUCUGUAAAUUUCUAUGAAUUUUUUAUCAUCUUAGCUAACUAGAAAUUAAAUGAAAUACCACCAAAAUUGUCCAAAUUAUUUUCAAAUUUACCUAGAUCAUACCUCGCUCCAAUUUUGCUCCAAACUACCCUAGCCCAAAAUUUGUAACUUUAAAUUCUGGUAGAAUUUUAUCGUGAAGUUUUUAACAAAAGAUUUAUACAUAACGACAGAAAUGGUUGUUACAUCAACAAAGUCAUCUAUUUUGGUAUAUUUCUAGUAUUUGUUUUUUUAGAAAUAAUUAUCAUUUUUCAAAAUCAGUUAUAAAAACAAGUUACAUGUCACCAUAUAAAAAGUGAUUUCAUGUCAACAUAAUGAGUGAUAUACAAAAAUAAAAAUUUGAUUUCAUGUUAAUUAUAAAGAUAUAUUAAAAAAAUCAUACAAAUAUUCAAAUCAAGGAUAUAAAAUAAAAGUUAAUUAUCUAAAAUCAUCAAAUUAAAUUUGUCUUAGUGGAGCACUAAAAUUGCAAAAAAUAAUUAUCUAAAAUCCUACCUUCAAAUCAUAAAUAAAAUUAUCUUAAUUGAGCACUGAAAUCAUAAAAAUAAAUUUUCUUAAAAUCCCACAUUCAAAUCAUAAAAAAAUUAUUUCAAAUGAUCAUCGAAAUCAUAAAACUUAAUUAUUUUAAAAUCGUACUUCCAAAUCAUGAAUUAUUUAUCUUCUCCAUUGUUUAUAUUUUUAAAAAUAGACAUACAUCAGCUGAAAAAUCACCACCAACACAAACUUGUAAUGGCUAAUCUUAAAUAACUUCUUGAUAAGGAACCACUUUGAAGCUUGUUAGUAUUAUAUCUCCUAUUUCAUUAACCCCAUCAACUUCAUCAGACUCUUCAUCAACUACCUAAGCCUCGGUGAGCUCCUCCUCCAAGUUUACCUGCCGCAUCAGAUUUCCCAUCAGUGGGCUUAGUAUUGGUGAGGUUCUUCUUUUGUUCAGUUGUUGCAUCAUAGACCCCAUUAUCUGUUUUUUUAUUAAUCCACUCCCCCUUUUCUUCGGCAACUUCACCAAAGACAUCAUCACCUGCCUUUUUCUUGGUUAAUUCUUUAUUUUCUUCAGCAGCAACUACAUCAGAGACACCAUUACUACCUUAUCCUUGGUCAUCUCCUCUUCUUCAAUAACAACUUCAUCAAAGACCCCAUCAAGCUCCUUGGCCUUGGUUAUCUUAUAAUAUUUGUUAGAAGCAUCCUCAUUAUAGACUCCAUCAAUUUUCAUUUACUUACGCAGCUCCUUAUCAAGAACAUAAUCAUAUUAAGCAAAUACUUCAGGCGAGACAUACUGAUUUGGCCUUUCAAGAUGUCCAACUACUUCAAAGGCUCCGACAGCAUCUUUUAGGGUCCUUCAUCAUCCAAAUGUGCAUUUUCUAUAAUUUUUGGACAUCAUUAGUAAAAUUACACAAUUCAUGAAUUAAUCUAAUUUAAAAAGUCAAAUUUAUUCACCUUUCUUUUCUUUAUUCUUCGUAUUCUUUUUUUUCUCCUCGGUCACGUAAUCCACAACAGUCAUUAAAUUUUAUUUUAUUCUCAACACACGCUUCUCAAGAAAGCUUAAACUCUCAUCAAUUCUAGACACAUGAUCAAAUACUUCCAUAAAAUACCUUUUUUCUUCCUCAACCUCUUGAGCCAACCUACUUUGUCCACCACCAAGAUUCACAUCUUCAUCAUGAUCAUUAAUAGGUGACUUAAGGAAAGUGACACCACUCAAGUUAGCCUUCAACCCAUCAAUGAAUAAAUCUUUGACCUAAUUCUUGUAUGGAACUAGAGUUUGCAUAUAAGUAUGUUCCAUCUCUCGCAGGGUAGGGGUGAGGUGGGGGUGUAGAAUCUGCUAAACAAGGAAAAUCAUUGCCUAUCAUAUACUAUAUUUAGUUUUAAAAGGGAACUAAUAAAAAUAUAAUAUUUUUACCUCUGAAUACUAUCCCGAAUUUCUAAAUGAAUCAUCUUAGCAAAAAAGACAAUGCUUUUGAUGUGCCAUCUGAGAAAUCUAGGCAGGAGCAAAGAAAUAACUUUUACUUUACCAAUAUAUCUUUCAACAUUGAAAAUAUUUCAUAGAUCCACACCUGUAAUCACAAAAAACAAGCAAUUAAUCAACUAUGAUUGUCAAAUAAAGUCUACAAUCAAAUAGGCUAGAUGGUCGAUGACAUACCAUAAAUAUCCAAGGGAAUUCAAAUAGAGCAUAAGAUGCACCAUUUCUAUCUUCGACUUCUUCAUGUUUAUCUUCUUCUUCAAAUAGUCCAAUGGCAAUACAAAGACUUUCUUUGCCCAUAGGUAUUCCUAAAAGAAUUAAGAGAAUAGAUCAUUUUUAUGAAGUUUGGAUCAACGGCCUUGAAAACAUCUCUUGCUAGCAACAUCACAUGUAAGAACCAAAUCAAACAACACCUUAACUUUUCCUUCUUUCAACCUAUUGCCACUAACCAAAUUCAAAAGACUUGUUGCAUUAAUAUUUUUGUUACGGCUAACCUUAUCAUAAAAUCAUUCUCCAUUACUAUACACUUUCAACAAUUUUGAUUCAUGAAGAUAUGUUAAAUUUAAUUUCAUGUUCAAAGCAAACUCGGUCAAGUCAAAACAAGCUGGCUCAUCAUUAACACAAAACCACAUUACAUGAAGAUUUGCAUAAAAAUUGACAUGAUGAAAAAGCAUGUGAUGGACCAACUGCCCAUAAAAUUUUAAUGGUUUGACAUUUCUUCAAACUGAUUAAAACAAGACUUUUUGAACCUACGAAUGAGUUUCUGCUCAGCUAAAAAUUUUCUUAAAUUGGUAAAAAAACUGCACCCUAGAUUUAUUGGAAUUUUUCAUGGCGAAAUGAUCCAAGUUCAUCCACAUAGAUAUAAAAAUUAUAUUUUUCAAUAUUAAGGACCAGUGAACACUCUAGAACGGACAGAGGAUCAUCAUCCUCAUUUUCGUACCUACUAUUCCUUCUCCAUUAUCACUACUCCCAACACCAUAUCUACUAGCCUCUUCAUCACUACCUCUAUCUAAUUUAGCCCCACUAUCCUUAACACUUAGUUCGUCAAUAUACUUUUUGAUCUUCUUCAUUAUUUUCUAAUCAAUCUUAUGUUCAGAUGGUGAAGAUUUUUUCUUUUGGCAUCUCGUUGUAGUUCAGCAUCAUUUCUUUUUGUACUAAAAGGUAAUAAACAUUUGUUAAACCCUUUCCCACUCUUCUAGUCAUUUUUAUAAUUUAUAAAAAAAUCGACUACCAUUAAGAUUAACAUUAAUCAACCACAAGGCCAAGCAUUGAAAUUAAAAAAUUAAACAAUGUUAAUCAAAAAAUUUCACUGUCCAUAUCAAGCGACAUUUAAAUAUGCUACACAACACAAAUUUAUUUUUAAAAAAUCUUAUAUCUGUAGCCAUUAAUCGAUAGAAUUCUAAAAAAAUCUGUGUAAUUUAGAAUCAAAUAAGCUACCCUUGCUGCUAACAUGCUAACAAGAAUUUUCGACAUCAAAACACUAUUUGUGUUUAAAAAUCUUUAGAAAAAAAAUCUUAAUACAUUGAAAAUUCUUAGAAAAAAAAAUAGAACCACAACAAUAUGCAUUUAAAAAUGACCGAAAGAAGAUGAUAACUUUCCCAGAAAUCAGAAUUUUAAAGUUGUGAUCUUGGGAGAGAAAAGAAAUCAAUAAUGCAAAGUAGGAAGUUAAAUAAUUGCUUGGGAGAGGAGAGAAAGAGAGAGAGGAGAAAGUGGAAGAAGCAAGAGAAAAGAAAAGGGACUUAGAAGGUGUAUAAAUACUGAAAAAGAGCAAAUAGAAAUAGUAAAUGACCCUAGAUAAAUUAAAAUGACUUUUAUGGGACCAAGGUAAAAUUUAAUAAACUAUUGACCCCACCACUUUUUCCAACUUUUUAACCUAAUCCUAAAAUUUAAAUCAAAAAGAAAUUUGAUAGUUAUUCUCCUAAAUAAGUUUUUGAAGUAACGAUCCCCCAAAAUUCUCUCCACAAACCUCUCACUCCUCUUUUCCAUCCCUUCCCCCUCAGCCCUACCCCUAACUACCUUCCCUCCUCUAUAUCAUCACCACCUUCAAACAACUAGCAGAUAUUUAAACAUCUUUCUAAACAACUAGCAAAUGCUUUCACAUUUCUCUAAAUAGUUAGUAGAUAUUUAAGAAAAUUCUUAUUGUUUUAACUAGACAAUCAUAGCAUGUUAAAAAUACUUAUUACAUCUUCUAGUUGAUUUGACUAAACAAUUUAGGAUUAUUUAAAUAAUAUCUUUAAGUUGUUUAAACUCUCAAUUAUUUUUCAUUGAAUUUUAAAAUUUCUCCAACGUUUUGAACAUCUUUCACUAGAUAUUCUCUACAAAAUUUUAUAAGCAGAUUUGAAUAAAGAGAGGUAGAAGAAGAUGAAAAUAUGCAAACACAAACGUAAAAGAAGAUAAAAAGAAGAUGAAAAAAGAGAGAAGAAGAUGAAAAAAGAGAGGAAAAAGAAAACAAGAUUGAAGCAAAUGAAGAAAAAGAAGGGAGGAAAUAGAAACUUUGAAAUUUAAAAUAUGAAAGAAAAAAUUGAGAAGGGUCAAAUAUUGCUUUGUACUAUUAAAAAAGAUUUUUUUUUCUCAUUCAGUGUCCAGUGUUCGCAUUGGAGCCCCAAUUAAUCUGGAUCGGACGUUGCAGGGCCCAUUAAGGUGGCAGCGCUUCCAACAGAGUUUUCUUCAUACCCAGGAUCGAACCCUCGACCUCUGAUUAAGGGUGGAACAGCCCCAUCCAUUGCACCACAACCCAUUUGGUCUAUUACAAAAGAUUUAAUAUAUCACUCGCUAUAUUUUGGAUUCAAAUAUAUUUUUUUGAUUAUACUUUGGGUUUAAAUAUAUUCAUGUACUACUAAGAGUUAUUUAAAUAUAUGCUUGGUUAUAUGAUAGAUCCAAAUAAACCCUUUUAUAUUUUAAAAUCAAAUACUCACUCUUCAAGGUUUAUUCCUAUUAAAGUGAUUCAGACCAAACUUGUCUUAAUGCUUUCUAGUAAUAUUAGUAAUUUGUUUUACUGUAAUUUAAUUUGAUGAGAAAAGUGAAUGCUAAAUGGUGAUACUUAUUUUGAGACUAAUAAUUUAUUAUUAAAAAUUCACUUUACAUAAAAAAUAGUUAAAUAUAAUUACAUUAAUUAGAUGACAAGGAAAAAACUUUAAAAUAUUACAUUUUUGAUGUUAAACUCUAAUUUAACACAUUUACCUAAUUAGUAUUCGAAUAAUUUGGUAUAGACAAUUAAUAGCAUUGUAAUUUUGUACAAAACACCAAUAUUAUUUUAUUUCGGACCACAUAUGAGAUGACUUUGACGGUGAUUAAUAUUAUGGGGAUAAUUUACUCAAAGACCAAACUGAUCUUAACUUUAUAUAUAUAAUUCUUAUAAAAUGUUUUAAUUUUUCACUUAAUAUCAUACCAUCUUCAUUCGAUAGUUGCCUCUAUACCUAUCUGUUUUUUUUUGCUUUAGAAAAUAAGAAUAAAAAAAUGAAGAAGAAGAUGUGACGGUGAAUAGAGGACAUAAGUAUUUUCUUGUUAAAUUAAGCGGCUAAGUAAAUCAUGCAGAAGAGUUUCAAAUAUAUUUAAUUACUUUUUGAUUAAUUUCAAAUUAACACAUCGUUAUCCAAUAAUUAAAGUCAGCAAUUAAAUCCAACGAGAACCACAAGUUAUCAGACAAUUCAAUGGUCAAGGCACACUUAGGAGAAAUUGGAAAUUAGAGAAAUUUGAAAUGGUUUAAAUGCGUGGGAGUAAAAACUAAGGAUAAAUUAAUAUAAAAUUAAAGUGAAAGAUAACGAUAUAUUUGGACAAAGUAUAUUGAAAAGAGCAUAAUUAAAUUGAAAGUAUAAUAAAAAGAUAUAUUUAAAUUAUUUCAAACACUACAAGGAUAUAUUUGAAUAAAAAAUAUAAUGAAAAGAAUAUAACUAAAUUCAAAGUAUGAAGAGAGUUAUAUUUAAAUUAUUUCUAAUAGUAUAAGAAUAUAUUUGAUCCAUAUAAUAAUUUGUAAUAUUUUAAUACUUAUUUUCAAUGUUUAAAGAAUAUAAUUAAACCGCAAAUUUGCUUAAGAGUCUUACUAAAAUCCCUUCAUUCCACUUAUUUUCUCAAGUAAAACCCUCCACGUGACAUGUUUCCCCCCUUACUGGUACAAGCUACAUUAGCAUUUUCAACUUUCAACUUUCAAGUCGGUGCUUAUAUUUUUCCUAGUCAGUUUGAAUAGAAUUAAAAUUUAAUUAAAUUAGUUUUUUUUCUCUGCUAUUUUAAAUAUUUAAUAAAAUUAAAAAAAAUACCUUAAAAAAAAUUUAAAAUUGAUUAAAAAAAUAAAAAGUGAAAAGUUGGGUAUCCCAAUUUUUUUAUUUUUUAGAUUAAAAUUUUUUUUAGAUUUGAUUAAUUACUUUUUUAUCUCUUAUAUUUUUCUUCAAUUCCAACAACAUCCUAAAUUUGUAACUCUUAAAUAUAUAAUUUUUCUUUCUUUUUCUCUUUGUUGCUUCUCUCUGUCUCUUUCCUUCAAUUUCCUCUUCAUCUUUCUCCUUUAUUUUCAGCAAAUCAUUACUCGAAGGUUUACAUAUUUUUUUAACAUAGUCAAAUUGUUACAAACUUGCAAUAUUACAAUAUAUAAUUAUUUUUACAUAAUAAAUCUUAAAAUUAAAAAAAUAACUUUUAUUUAUAAAUUGCUCUAAUCACUUUAUGUUGAAACUGUAUUUAAAUAGAAAUUAUUUUAAAAUUAUUUGAAUUAAAAAUUAUAAAUAAUUCACUUUAUUUAUGACGUUAACAACUUUAAAAACAUUUAAUUCAUUUUAAUAAUAAAAAAGCAUUUAACAUUACUUGUUAUUAAACACAUUAAUAAUUUCUUUUUCAACACUUUCAUCCAAGCACUUAUCUACUUAAUUUAUAAUUACUUAUUUUAAUUUUUGUAAUCAGUUAGAUAAAAAAAAUUACUCCCUCCGUUUAAAAAAGAAUGACCUACUUUGACUUGACACAAAGUUUAAGAAAAUAAAGAAGACUUUUGAAUCUUGUGGCCUUAAAUUAAGGUUGUGUCAAAUGUACCAAAAUGCCCUUUAAUCUUGUGGUCCUAAACUUGUUAUAUUUUUCCUAGUCAGUUUGAAUAGAAUUAAAAUUUAAUUAAAUUAGUUUUUUUUCUCUGCUAUUUUAAAUAUUUAAUAAAAUUAAAAAAAAUACCUUAAAAAAAAUUUAAAAUUGAUUAAAAAAAUAAAAAGUGAAAAGUUGGGUAUCCCAAUUUUUUUAUUUUUUAGAUUAAAAUUUUUUUUAGAUUUGAUUAAUUACUUUUUUAUCUCUUAUAUUUUUCUUCAAUUCCAACAACAUCCUAAAUUUGUAACUCUUAAAUAUAUAAUUUUUCUUUCUUUUUCUCUUUGUUGCUUCUCUCUGUCUCUUUCCUUCAAUUUCCUCUUCAUCUUUCUCCUUUAUUUUCAGCAAAUCAUUACUCGAAGGUUUACAUAUUUUUUUAACAUAGUCAAAUUGUUACAAACUUGCAAUAUUACAAUAUAUAAUUAUUUUUACAUAAUAAAUCUUAAAAUUAAAAAAAUAACUUUUAUUUAUAAAUUGCUCUAAUCACUUUAUGUUGAAACUGUAUUUAAAUAGAAAUUAUUUUAAAAUUAUUUGAAUUAAAAAUUAUAAAUAAUUCACUUUAUUUAUGACGUUAACAACUUUAAAAACAUUUAAUUCAUUUUAAUAAUAAAAAAGCAUUUAACAUUACUUGUUAUUAAACACAUUAAUAAUUUCUUUUUCAACACUUUCAUCCAAGCACUUAUCUACUUAAUUUAUAAUUACUUAUUUUAAUUUUUGUAAUCAGUUAGAUAAAAAAAAUUACUCCCUCCGUUUAAAAAAGAAUGACCUACUUUGACUUGACACAAAGUUUAAGAAAAUAAAGAAGACUUUUGAAUCUUGUGGCCUUAAAUUAAGGUUGUGUCAAAUGUACCAAAAUGCCCUUUAAUCUUGUGGUCCUAAACUUGUCAUGUGAAAAGUUGAAAUUAAAGUUUUGUCAAAAAGGGAAAGGGGUCACUUUUUUAAAACGGACUAAAAAGAAAAAUAGGUCAUUCUUUUUUACGGAGAGAGUAGUAUUUUUUUAAAAUGGGCUCUAAGUAAGAGCAUUUAGAUUGGAAAGUGUAUUCAAGUUGCAGUAUAAAUUCUCCAAUCUUCGUUUUCUUCUUUAAGACAGGAAAAUUUAACUAGCGUUACUUGGAAAAGUGGGAGAAAUGAGGUUGGAACAUCUUUUAUGUCAUGCUUUCUAUUCCUCAAUCGUGGAAGGGAAAAGGAUAAAAAAUACCCCUCUACUUUGAAAAAUUGGCCAAAUUUGCCUUCCGUUAUACUUUGGGGUCAUAUAUAUCCCCGUCGUUACAAAAGUUCACAUAUGUACCCUCCAACUAACAAAAAAACCCAAAUUACUUUAAAUGACCCAUUUUAAAAACAAAACCAAACUCGACUUGACCCGACCCAUCAAAAACCCAAACAAAUACACACAAUACACGGAUUUCUCACCUACCUGACUUCACAAUUAAGGCUUUUCACCCUCACUUCUGUAGAUUAAAUUUUUCCAACAAAUUACUUCUCUUUCACUAAUCAUUUUCAAUAGUGUAGUUAUGGUCGAUUGUUAAUCUUUACUAAUCUCCUUAGGAAUAGAAAAUGUCACAAAAUUAUUACUGUUUCUCUAGAAAGUGUCCGUUGCAUUAUCACUAUCGUUAUGAUUUGGUAAAGUAAUAGACAAAAAUCUCAUUUUGAAUACUCUAUCUAAUCCUCGAAGAAGGUUUUUCAGAUAUUUUCUUGUAGAUAUGACGCUUUAAGGCCCUGGGUACCUUCGACACAAUGGAAAAGCUUUAGACAGAUUAAGUUGGAUUAAACAGGUUGCAACAUCCUUACCAGUUUAUCAAGGGUUCACGGUGCUGGAUUUUAUUUUGUAUAUUGCACUUUUUCAUCGUUGUUGAUAAAUAGAUUUUUCCUUGUUUAGGUGUAUUAUUUUCGUAUGAUAAAAUAGGACUUGAGGUCGCCUUUUUAAUAUGCCUUGUGAGUACUUUGUCUGGGUUUCUUUACUCUUGUUAUUUUCUUGAAUCGAAGGGUGUAUUAAAAACUGUCUCUCUACCUCCCAAGGUAGGGGUAAGUUCUACGUACACACUACCCUCCCAAAAGUCCACUUGUGCGACUACACUAGAUAUGAUGUUGUUGACAUAAAACUGAUUUUUGAUCCUCUACAUCCACAUAUUAACACUUUCAAAGUGUAAGAAGCUUUGCAUCAUUUAACAUUUCAAGAAGGUACAAUGUCACGAUCAAGGUGAGUUCUUGGAUGAUUUGUACUUCCUCUAAAGUUCAUAUGAGUAAAUGAUGGCUUGCAAUAUCGGUGUAUUUUAGCAUGUUUACUAGACUAUCUGCUUCUCUUUUGUUAUGGAUUGCUAUCAUUCUCAUAUGUUAUAAUUUUUUCAAUGUCGUUGUAUUUUAACAUGUUGUAGCAGAUUAUCCAUUUCCCGUUUCUUAUGGAUUAUUAUGAUUCUCCUAUGUUAUAAUUUUUACAGUAUCGGUGUAUUUAACAUGAAUUAUCUGUCUCCCAUGUGCUAUGAACUUUGUCAUUCUCAUAUGUUACAUUUUUAUAAUGUCCAUGUAUUUUAACAUGUUGUAGUCACCUGUAGCAGAUUAUCUACUUUCUGAAAGAUGAUAAAAUUCCAUUGGAGAGAAUAGGGGAUCAUGAAAUUCCAGAUGAUGAUUACCCAAAAGAAACUGAUACAGCAGCAGUAGUAUUAGCAGGAGGUGACGUUGAGGUGUACGGUAAAAGGAUACCAGAGAGAUGUGGAUCAAUGGACAAACACUAUGGUAAUGUAUUUGAACUAGCUGUUGGAGGAUGAUUCUGAUGAUGUUUUUGGUCAUGGAAAGAGAAAGAUGUUUGGUGACCUCUGGAAGAAGAAGGGCCACAAAUAAGUGUCCUGAUUGUCAUGCUUUGGCAGAAAAAUAGUCGCUCUCUAUUUUAAGUUUAUUUAGCUAACUAAUGUAUGAAUUUUUUUCUUGGCAUCUGGCCAAUACUACUAUUAUGUUGAGUUUAAAUUUCUAUGCUAGUAGUAGUCUUAUUUCUUUCUAGUGUAGCUUGAUAAAUUAACCUGUCAUUCAGGGCAGUGCCUUUAGAUCCAUAAUAUUGGGCAUUUUGUGUGCAGUGGAUGACAAAAUUGUGGUGUAUUACUUGAGAUUAAAUUUUUGAGUCAGGAUUUAUUGGUAACAAUGUCUCUACAUAUCUGAAUUAUCUCCGAGCAGGCACUACGAUUUCAUAUGAUCCCCGCUACAUACAAUUUUGCUUUUAGGGAGGCUAAACUUGUCGCAUAUACAGUUCAUUUUACUUGGUAUUUUCCUAAAACUGUUAUUGCUCUCUAAACACAUACUUGUAGAAAGAAAAAUAUAGAAACUACACAAGUAUGUAGAAACUAGAAAAGAUAUAACUGCCAAUUAAUUCCAUAAAAAUUAAAGAAGUUGCGAAUUGUGUACACAAAGCAUCAAAGCUGAGAAUUCCAUAAAAAUUAAAGAUAUAAGAAACCACCUACUUACAAACAAGAAACCAAAGAAUAACGCACAUGACUAUAAUUGAAAACAUUUAACUAUAAACAAAAUAUUGACAAUUCAACACAAAGCACCACGGCAAGACCAAAUUCUCAACCAUAGUUGGUAAAAUGAACAAGCUUAAGGAAGGAUUUACAGAAAACAGAGUAUCAUUGAAGAGAUAUUUGAAGGUUGAAGCAAACAUAGUUGAGAAAAAAUUCACAUAUCCAAAUCUACGAUAAUCAAGAACAUAUCAAUUUUAUUUUCAUUUGAACAUAUAUUACUAUCCAAAAAAGACAUCUGUAAGGGCAGCACCCAAUGUAGCUGGACCAAAACCGUCUCAAAUAUAACCAAUAUAAAGCCUCAAAUGUUGUCAUAAUACACUGAAAAUAGUGAGAUUAUAUGGCCUAUAAUGUCACAACAUAUUAGUUCAUUACUGAACCAUAAUUUGUUCAUUACAAACUGAGCAAAAAAUAUAAAACACACACGCUAUAGCAAUAAACAAGCAUUAAAUUAUCUAAAAACUGAACCACAAUUUGUUCAUUACAUUAGGUAUGCCAUCUUAUAAUUUCAAAAAGUUGCAACAAAAAUACAGGUUCACAAUUUUCACAAAAAAAUAUAGAACAUCUAUUUUCACCAUCAAAUAUUGACCAUUCCCUUAUCUUAAUACGCAAAACAUGCCAAUAUUAGAUUUUUACUGUUGUGUCUUGCCAUUACCCUUUCUCGUCUUAAGUUUAUCCACUCUUAACUGCUCCAACUUUCUUCCAGUAAUAGAUGCAUUAUCAUUCCACGAGAGCGUUUUUGGUGCAUACAAGUCACUUGGUUUAGUUGAACCUAUAACAUCAUGAAGAAAAUUGAUUUGUCUUGAUCCAAUUGGUUUUGGUUGUUUUUGUCUUUGUAAGAUUUUAGACUUAAACUUUGAAACACUUCUUGGCUUCCAAGAUACAUAUUUUUCAACUUUAAGACCACGAUACUCAAAGGACUCGCCAAAGAGGAGCUGACGUUGAGUUGACGCACUGCCUUGACUAGCCUGUGGAGCUGUCAAGGCCACAUCUUCAACUAUUGCAUGAUCUGGGAAUCUGGGAGGGCUUGGUUCUAAAUCUUCUUCAUUAAUUCGUGUUCUUCGCCUCUUCAUUGAUGGCUUGCCCUUCAUUGGUUGUUUGUCUUUCAUUUGUUUCUUACUCUUAAAAUGGCCAGACUUAGAAGUGCCUUCACUACUCAUUUUGUGAAACUAAUAAAAUAACAACUUAAGCACAAAUCUGUAAUAAUUAAAAAAAAUAGAACUGACCAAUUAAAAUAGAAGUUACCUUUUGACAACCCCUGGCAUUGUGUCCUGGAAGUCCACAAGUUGAACAAGUCAUAACUUUACCUCUCCUUGUUACAGCCCACUCAAUUUGCCUCUUAAGUGCUUCAUCUUUAUCUCUUUUCCUUAUCGUUGCAGGUCUGCCAGCCAGGGUUACCAAAGGGGCUGGUUCCAUUGCUUCUGCUGGAUCAAUUUUCCAGAACUUAGGGCCAAGCACUGGUUGUAGCUUUAAAUGAUAAGUCAAGAGAUAUGCCUUCUUUGUGUACCACCAGUGGAUCUCUUCCCUAGGAUCACUCUCCUUAUAAAGAAGUUCUUUGAUUGCAUGGGGACAAGGUAUUCCAGUAAGUUCCCAUACCCUACAAUUACACCUCUUAUUUUACAAAUUAACAAUGUGUUUGUCAUUUUCCUCACUAAUCUCAUACCCAUAAUCACCAUUGAAAUUUAAUUCUCACACAUUAGCAAUUUUCAAGUAUUCAUUGUACAUCUCAAUAGCUUUUGGACUCCAUUUAGUAUCCCAAGACUACUUCUUUUUCAUGUUUCACAAACUUCUUCAUUACCUUUAUUCUGAUAGCCUCAAGCAUCCCAAUGAUGGCUUUGUCCCUUGCUUCCAAUAUCCAUGAGUUGAAUGACUCGGUCAAGUUACUUUCCACCUUUUGAUUCUUGCAAACUGUGUCUAAAAAUACUCUACACCAAGUUUUUAUUGGAAAAUGCAGCAGCUCAUCUUUGACUUCUUCUGACAAUUCAGCCAAUUCCUUCAAAUUAUCAUCUAGCUUCUCUUUGUAGGUGCUCCAUGCAUACCACCAUAUUAUCUUAGACAUUUGUUUAGAUAUUUUUCCAUUUCUUCUCCAAUUGGCCUCUAUGUGUCUCAUACAGUAUCUAUGCAUGGCAUUAGGUAGAAUAAUUUUGACUGCUUCAAGCAGUCCCUAUUUAUCAGUCAAAAAAAUAAGUUGAUAAAUGAAUAUACAUAAAAAUACCUAUAAAAAAAUAGUGAACUGAUUCAGUUCUUAGCAAAUAGUAAUAAUCAUGUCAAUGAUAAAGAAAAUAAUAAAAUUAUAGAAUAUUGAUAGUUCACCUUUUUCAUAUCUGAGAUUAAUAUGACCCUUCUCCACUGUUGAGGCUUAGAGACUACUGAAGCAAUUCCACAAACCAAAGCCAAGAAGCUUUGUAUUCUUUUUCCAUGAUGGCUCAAGAAAUAGGAUAAAUAUGGUUCAUUGAGUCUUGACCAACAACACAUAAGAGUUGACCUUUGGCUUUACCUUUCAAAAAAGUUUCAUCUAAUCCAAUGAAAGGUCUCAAAACCAGCUUUAAACCCCUUCUUUAGUGCAUCAAAAUAGAUAUACAUUCUCAAAAACUGUCUUUUUCCUUCAACUAGUAAAACCUUAAGGCUAACAUCACUCCCUACAUUACUCUCCAAUAGAGCAUUUGCAUAUCCAACAAGAUUUUUAUAGUCGUCACAAAAACUGCCUUCUAUUUUUUCCAAAAUAAUCUUUUUAGCUCUCUUACACUUCCCAAAAGAAGCAUUAAUGUUGAAUGAAGUUUUGAAAUCAACUCUCAUGUCCUUGAUCUUAUAUUUGGGUUUAGCUUGCAACUUUUCCUUGAAGUAAUAAGCAAGUGUAGUUGCUGAAACCUUAUAGUUACCACAUGGAUCAUCACAUUUAUGCUUUCCUGUUAAUAUUUUCAUACUAACAUCAGGACAAUUCUUUUCACCAGAAAUUAGGAAGACAAAGUUUCACACUUUCUGACAAACAACCCUAAAUCUUUUUGAGUCACUUUUUUUUUAUAGUUAGGUUAUAGCCAUUUGCUAAUGGAUGCAAGCUAAUGAAUCUUCUAGCUUCAGCUAUAUCUUUGAAAGUCAUAAAUCUAUGUAACUCCUUGUAUUCAGACAACUUGUCAUUGAUUAUCCUUUUUCUUUCUUUUGCGAGAACCUCUAACUCCUCAGAAUCAUAAUCAGAAUAAUCAAAGUCAUUACCGCUAUCAUUAUCAGUUUCAUCAGAGUUACAAUCACUAUUUUCAUUAUCUGCUUUAUCAACCGCCACCACAGACUCUUUCAAUCUAACUAUGUUCUCAACAUCAAUAGGUAAUUUGCUAUCUUCAACAACAAACAAGUUUAUAACAUCAAAUUUAUCAUUCACAUAAGACAAUAAUGUUCUAAUUCCCUGAUCACCUAUUAUUUCAUAGUAUUUUUUAGAAGGAAAAGACACAAUCACUUGUUGAACACCAAGAAAUCCCAAUGUAUUAUUGUAUUCGUUCACAAUAUCUAUAAAUGAUAAAAGAUCAGAAUCAUACCCUUCCCAUUUGCACACUAACUUUCUUGAAUAUAGUAUUUUUUGCUCUCUUAUCCACUCCCUGCCAUAGUGGAAUACCAAGUAAAUUAGCACCAUUUUAGAUAAUUUGAAAUCAGUAAGAAUCACAAAAUAAGAAAACAGAUAGAUAAAGAAAGUAAUUAAAGCAUUUAGGUAGUACAAAAAUGAAGAAAUAUUUUCCAAACUAAAACAAUGAAUAAACAAUAAAAGAUACAAUAAUUAGAUACCAAGAACAACAUUUUCAUUAGACCUAAUACCACAAAUAAUUAUCAAAUAAGAAUGGAAGAUAAACAAAAAAAACUAUAAAAAAGCCAAGAAAAUAUGAAUAAAAAACAAGUUUUCUUGAAGAAAAACAAACAAAAAAAAUGAGUUGGGACCACUUUUCAAUUCAGUAAAUCUUACUUCUCCAUAAUUUUUAGUAUACAAGAAUAAAAUAUUGGGACCACAUUUCAGUUCUCUUUCUACCCGAUGACAAUUGCAAUAGAUUCUUUUUUAUAAAAAAAAGAGGAAAGAAAUCUAUAAUUGAAUUUAAACUUCAAUAAAUGUAGGUAAACCUAAUACCACAAAUCAAUCCAUCCCCAACACCGUAAACCAGUCAAAUCUAACAUAUCGUAAAAACCCUAAAACAACUCAUCUAUACUCUAAACUUAGAACAUCUUAGGAAGCAUAAAUAUCCUAAAAUUUUGCUCAUAUAUACUAUCAAAACAAAAUGAAUAGCUAAUAACAGAAGUAUCAAUACGUAAUUAACAAAUUUAUCAUGAAAUAGAAAACCUUAAUUCGUAAAUAAACUAGCCUAAAUCUAAAAUCCAAAACUCUAACAAUUAAAGAAAACUAAGUAAAUGAGUUAGAUAAUCUACUUUGGAAGCUUAACUAGAAACCCUAGUUUGUAAGGAGUUAAGACAUUAAAGAACAGAAAUAUGCUCAAAUCAAAGAGAAUUUCAUACCUGUACAGAGAUUGUCUCAACAGAUCUGAAAAUCUUAGAUGAGAAACAGGUUUUUCAUUGGCAGAACUCCUCUCUCGAUUGAAUGUCUUUCAGUGAGGCUGUGAAGGUGAGAAGAAGUGAAAUUAAGUAUGUGAGAAAAUGUUGUUAUGUGUAUUUGUUUGGCUCAAUGCGUAUUGUGGGUUUAGAUAUGUUUGUUUCGUCUUUAAAUAUGGGUCGGGUCGGAUUUGCUUUUAAAAUUAAAAAUGGGUCAUUUAAAAUGAAUUGAGUUAUUCUGUUAGUUGAGGGUACAUAUGUAAACUUUUAUAACGGCGAGGAUAUAUAUAGUCCUAAAGUAUGACGGAGGAUAAAUUUGAUCAAUUUUUCAAAAUAAAGAGGGUAUUUUUGACCCUUUUCCCAUCAUGGAAUAUCAUUGAGAAAUAGGAAUACCCUUUCUUUAAUUUAGAGUUCGGUUGGUCCAACUAAAUUGCCUAAAUCUCUUCCUCAUCUGCUGCUCUGUCUUUUAGAGUUGUGAACUGACCUCUUCCUUUUACAGCUAGACAAUUGACAAAUAAGCUGGGUAUAUAAAGAACAUAAGGUAUGAGUUGUCAUUAACAAAUAAGCUGGGUAUAUAAAGAACAUAAGGUAUGAGUUGUCAUUAGCAUAAAAGUCAUAUUAUCAACGAGGGAAAUUGGCACAACCAGACAUCUCAAACAUUGAUAAACAUUGAUAAGGGAAGAAUUAGGCCUUCAUUAGGAUAUUCCUUUCAUCCGCAUGGCAAGGCUUGCCAGUUUCCUGGAGUACACUCGCAUCUGGUUUGAUUCCAAGUAGGUCCUCCCCUAAAGUCGCUUUCAUGUUACCAAGAGGCACGGAUUUAAGCUGUGGAAAUAACGUCUAGUAAAAAUGACCCCUGCAUCGGGGGAGCUUUGGUGUACUGCACUCAAAUAGGUCGAGUAAAGCUGUUCAUCGAAGCUAGUAUGAUGGCUUCGUAGUGAGUGUUGUUGUUGGGAUUUGGAUAUGGAAUCUCCAGGUUGUUACUCGUAUGACUCAACGCUUAACCACCCUUUUAGGACAAUGAAACUUUAUUAUUGCUUCUAGCAAGUUUCUUUUUCCGAUGUGCUAGUUUGUUCAGGGUGUUAACUGUUUAUUCUGAGUAGAGAAUGCAUAAAUAUCAGCCAGUUGCCAGCUUAUUGAAAUUAUACUUUUUGUUUGUUACCUUUGCUACCAUCUGAUAGUUACACGUGGGAAUUUGGAAGGUUUUAUCUGCAUCAUCAACAUAAACUCUCUUAAACUGCAAGUUUGAAUUACACAUAAUUAUUGGUAAUUUUGAAAACGAAAGAGAUUCAUGGUCUACAAAAUGUUACAGAAUUUUGAAGCUAGGGCUUGGGGGCGUGUAUUUCUUCAUUUUGUGUCCCGUUUUCUCUAAAAUAGAUAAGUUUCUUCACUAUACUGAACUAAGCUUACAAAUUUUUCAACUUCCUAUGACUAGUGAUAAAUUUGCAGCAAAAGCAGUCAUUUUGCUUAAUUGAUUUCUGCAGUGGGCUAGUAGCCGAGGCUGAUAUAGAACUUUUUCAGCUUUUAUAGAUAUCAUAUCUUUCGUCUACUGCUGCCUCUGGAAAUUUGUUCCAACUUCCAGAAUGUAGGAAGCAAGAUCAAGUCUGUAAUAUAGCUAAGCUGUUACAACUUUUGGAUCUCAUUGAAUACUCCUUUAUCAAUUUGGAGAAGAAAGAAUCCUCUCUUUCCAAUAGCUUUGCUGGUGUGUCAUAUUCGGCUAUUCUUCCUGUUAAAGGGCAAGUGAAGGAAUUCACAUAUAGAAUUAGAUGCUUAUUCAAUUCAGUAGGAUAAAGAGAUUUAGAUGCAAUAAAAUUUUACCUUCAUUCAAGACUAAGAUAAGGUCACUAUCAAUGACGGUGUGGAUUCUAUGAGCUAUUGUCACAACUGUUCUAUUUCUGAACUCUUGACUGAUAAUCUUUUGUAACACUGCAUCAGUUGCAGCAUCAACUGAUGCUGUUGCUUCAUCCAGAACGAGAAUGCUGCUUUUCUUCAGCAAGGCUCUUCCAAGACAGAAUAGCUGCCUUUGACCAACACUCCAGUUUUCUCCAUUUUCAACCACUGUGAAACUGAAUACAUUAGUAGGUUUCAAGAAGGAAGUAUGUCCUUGUUUCGUAAAAAUUCUGAGGCUUAAGAUUCUACAAUUUUAUCAAGCAAUUUCUAGUCGAACCUGUAGAUUCUAGUUUUUCUGGCUUUCCGCAUAUUAUAUCACCAAGUUGGCAUUUGUCCAGAGCCUGACAAAAGGAGCCGUGACUACAUUAUUCACUGUUCAAAUCACUAGUACUUAAGUAAAUUUCAACUCUUUCCUUGAAUGCAUCAUAAAAACCUAUGUUCCAUUCAUUUAGACUUUGCAAGGCAAGUGCAAGAUCUAUUAGAGGGUUAACAAACUCUUUGUUCUUUUGGUUUGUUACCAUGCAAAAAUGUUGAUUUAUUAGCCAAUCUUGUGAAUUUAAGUGGACUUCUUUGCAUAAUAGUUUUUCAGUACUCAGUGCAAUAAGUACCUCCCAGAUUUCUGUAUCAGAGUGCUGUGCUAGUGGAUCUAGGUUUCCUCUAACUGUUCCCUCAAACAUUGUUGGAUCCUGAGGAAUAAUACUAAGCCUUGACCUCAAAUCAUGAAGACCUAUCUUGCAAAUAUCUAUAUCAUCGAUGCUAAUGCUUCCUUCUUGGGGUUCUACUAUCCGGAAAAGGGCCUGAAUGAGGCUUGAUUUACCACUUCCUGUUCUGCCCACAACACCGACUUUCUUACCUCCCGGCAAUGUGCAUGUUAUGUUUUUCAAAACAGAAGGGAGGUGUUCAGCAUAACGUAUCUGCAGAUAGGGGUAUGGUGAUAAUAUCAGUGGGUGGAAAUAUUAAGUUAAUCAAACUAGAAAAUAUGUAAACAAGUAUAUAAUAUUCCUGCUAGUUUUUGAGUAAAUAUAGCUUUAUUCCUUGCAUCUUUGACAUCUAUUACUACUGGAUGAUAUCCUACUGCGUUAUUGCAAACCUCAUAAUCGAGUCUAGUUUUAUCUUAGCCACAGGAUACUGUCUUUACCUGCAAAGUUUGGAAGGAAAUUGUACCAGUUUCUGGCCAAGUACUUGAUGGUCUGCUAUUUUCAAUCACAAGAGGUGCUUCACUGGCAAGGUUUGAGUACUGGAGAAUCCUUUCAACUGAUAUCAUUUUGUUUUCAGCAUUGCAAAUAUUCCAUAUAACGGAAGCUUGUAAAAUAUUCAAAUUGAUCCCAUAUGUUACUGCUAAUCCUGCAAUGCCUGUAGAAUAUAAAGCACCAUCAGUUUCCUCUGAUUUCUUUUAUGAAGUUGAAGUUCUUAACACCUGUCAUCCACCACUAAAUCAACAAAAAAAAAGAAAGGAACUUCUGAUUAUCCUGACUUUCUUAAGAAACAUGACUUUGAUAGAUUACGUGCUUUUACCAUUUUAGUUCCUACUGUGCUCUACAUAAAAACAUAAAGACAACCAGUUUCUGAUGCUUACUUGGAUUUAUAAUUCCUUCGGGGAGUGUGACUAGCAGAACAAGGGAGAAGGCAAAAACAAAAUUAGAUAGCUGAUUCAGUCUAAAAGAAAGCCACUCCAUUGCUGAUACAUUGUGAAACCAUGGCCUUGAAUGAUCAUCUAUGAAACAAAGGUUUGUGUGCGCAAAGCGAUCUUUUUGGUUGAAAGCACGAAUUGUUGCUGCUCCUGCGAGUGAUUCUCCAAAGUGAUGGAGAAUUGGAGCUCUUUGAACUCCAGAUAAACGAGCAAGCUCCCUUGCAGUUGGUAUGUAGUAUUGCUGGCAGUUUUAACAAAAAUAACUUUAAUUGACAUUUUACAAAAGAAACGUACAGUUUGUUUAUCUCUAAAUAAUAAUUUUACCAAUAUUUUCCCAAACUCCACUUACUGAUGAAUACAAAAUUCUUUUACAAGGUAGCUCAAUGAGAACUGCUUAUUUUAGCAGAAAACUUGGUUUUAUCAUCGUGUCUUCCUACCCUAACUUGACCACUAGAGUACUUUGUCUAAAACACGACAGCAACUUUGUUUUAAUUAUUUAGCAUUCCAAGAAUUAAACAUGUACUGCUUAUUUACCUGGUACCAAAUGCAGACUGCUGUUACUGGAAUAAAGAUGACAAAUACUUCCCAUGCAGCCUGCGACAUGACUGCAAUUGUCCCAAUAAGCUGAAUAAUGGAGAAUGCACACCAACCCAACUUGUUUGCCAUUUCCAAGUCUAGAACACUUUGAUCUGUUGAUACCUGUUCAUGUAAUAAGAUGUCUUGAUGAUUGAUCCAAUAGGAUUUCAUUAAUGAAUCAACUGAAUUUCAGCCUUAGGUUGUAUGAGAAAUAUAAGAGAAGAGUAUUAUUGAAUUGUUGUAUCUACAUUAUUACAAUGAGAGCCUAUUUAUAUACAUUACAUUCCAAUCCUUUUCCAAGCAGGACACUACAUUACAAUCCUUUUUCAAGUAGGAUUCUGUAUACUAUUCCUUCUCCUACUCAAUAUUCUCACUUCCCGCUCAAGAUGGUGCAUACAAGUCAUAUGUGUACCAAGCUUGUCAUGGAUGUAAUUAAUACGAGGAUUAGUGAGGGACUUGGUCAAGAUAUCUGUAAGAAAACCGAUAAGGACUGCUCCAGACGUAUGGGCGAUCACAGUUGAAAAGGAACAAACUAAAAGAGUGGUCAGUUGUCGCUGGAAAGUCGAUUUGUCGCUGGAAAGUUGUCGGAAACUGGUAUAAAAUAUAUGGGUCAUCUCGAAAUCAAGAGAUAAGUAGAUCUUCAAUAAGAAAGACACUGAAAAACUAGCCGGAACAUGCUCACACAUCGAAUUAUUAGAUUUGGUGGCUAAAAAGUGGUCGGAAUUUGGGAAAAAAUUAUAUGGAUAGGGUCGGAAUGGUGAGAUGACCUACUGAGAAAGAGAAAUUAUAUGGCUAGGGUUGAAAUGAUGGCACGACCCUACUGCAAAAUAGAUUGUAUAUGUAGGGUCGGAAUGACGGCAUGCAACGAGAAAUUAUAUGGGUAGGGUUGGAAUGACGGCACGAUCCUAUUGAAAAAGAGAGAUUAUAUGGGAAGGAUCAGAAAGAUGCAUGAAACUAUGCAAAUCAGAUUUGAGGAGUGACCGGAAAGACGCACGAAACUCUGCAAAUCAGAUUUGAGGAGUCACCGGAAAGACGCACGAAAUGAUGCAAAUUAGAUCUGAGUAGUCAUCGGAACAAUGCAUGGUGCUAUGCAAUUUGGAUAUCAGAAAGUAGUUCGAAAAGAUGCACGGUACUAUGCAAAUUAAAUAUGAGAAAUAGUUUGGAGAAAUGUACGGUUCUACGAAAUUAGAUAUGAGAAAGUAGUCACCGAAAAUAUUCACGGUGCUAUGCAAAUCAGAUAUGAGAAAAUAGUCAUCGGAAAGAAACAUGUUGACCCAAUCUUUUGCUAACAUGAUCAUUGGCCAGACGGGCAGCAUUUAUGAGUUAUAGCAGCCCGCCGGCAACGAAAGUUCUUUGAUUCUCUACCAAGAUCAUAGAGGCUUUGAUCCCACAUGAGAAAUAUAAGAGAAGUAUAUUAUUGAAUCGUUGUAUCUAUAUUAUUUAUGGACACUACAUUCCAAUCCUUUUCCAAGCAGGAUACUACAUUACAAUCAUUGUUCACGUAGGAUUCUGUAUAUUAUUCCUUCUCCUACUCAUAUUCUAACAAGUUCUAGAGGUUAAGACAAGAAUUUACACUUCACUUCACUUUUGUCAUGUUUUUAUCUUGACUAUCUUAUUAUGAUAUUUCUCUGUGGAUUAACUUGUGAGUUACGUUGGUUGAGAGGACAAAUUCAGAUACACCGGAAAACGCCUACUUGCUUUAUGCAGUUGUGAGAUAUUAGCUAACAUUCCAUUACUUAGCUUAUAUCAAAUAUGUUCCUCCAACUUAUAGCUUUUAUCAUGCCUGAUUUCUUCCUAUUUAUUCCUUUUUAACAUGUACCAAGGAUAUGUACCUAUCCGUGUAGAUGCAGGAUAAGCAAAACUACCCAACUAUUACUACAUAUGCAGGAUGAAUACUAGGCUAAAUCCACACAUCUCAUUCAAAUUAAGGGAUGUAAACUGCAGCUGAUAUGCUGUCCUCAUAUCCGAUCCCAAUCAACUAACUUUGAUUUACUUACUCGAUUUAAGAUUCUUCCUGUAGGAGUAGAGUCAAAGAAUGACAUAGGAGCACGAAGGAUGCUGUGCAGCAUGCUUCUAAAGAGCUUUUCUGCUGUUCGAAGGCCUGUUAUAACGACAAAUGAUGACCGGACUAGCACACAAAGAGAACUUCCAACAGCGAGAAGCACAUAAACAAAAAGUAUGAAGUUCAUCUUCUCUUCUAUUGGUGCUGCAUCACCUAUGGGACAGGACCAUGCCAUCCAGUAGUUGCUGGCUAUCUGAAGCACUUGAAAUGAUGAUUGCGCUAGAAGAAUUAUUGGAACAAAGGCACCACCUUUCACAGUGGUCAAGUAAGAAAUGUAAACUUCCUUUCCAAUGCUUCCUUUUUCCCUCUCCUCAUCCUGCACAAGUCUGCCAUCCUUUUCUGUUAUCUGUACGCAGAGAUUGUGUUCUGAAUCCUGCUUAGUGUGUGGAAAUUCUGCAUCUAUGUUACUAUCUGUAUCAAUCUCACCAUCAGUAACUGCAUAUUCAGAUACUCGACUUGAGCUUUCGACUGUUAAAAUUGAUUCCAAAGCCUGGUUGUACGCUCCAACUAGAACUUCAAAUCCAAUAUUUUGUUUCAAUAGUUCUUCAAAAGUACCAGCUUGUGCUAUUCUUCCAUUUCGCAUCACCUGUUGAUAUUAAGGAGUUAGAUUCUGCAUAGUGUUUUGAAUGUUAUCAAACUUUUGGCAUUCUUAAGAAGCAUGAAGUAUUUUCCGUAAGAGUCUCCCAGUUAAUGUUUUAAAUGAUCUUAGUUAUCCUGAAUAGGCAACCUCCAAAUAUUUGGGAAGUUAUAAGAAAUUCCAGCUUGUUUUGACCUGGGCAACAUGUAUACACUUAAGCAAGGAGUAGACCUUUGUAUUUCGGGAUUUACUAGAGAACGCUUCUCUUAUUUUGUGUAAAUUCUUAGUUGGGAACUUUCACAUCUGAUUUCGAAGGCGGAGGAGAUGGGGGAUCCUAUAGAAUCCUAUUCCAAUUUUUCUGUUGCUAGAGCCGUAAAUAAAAGGCCCACUUUCUUAGAAUUACUAGCCCUUUUCAAAUAGGAAUCCAAUCAUGGUAGGACUUUGAUAUGUACAUUUAAACAAUGUAAUAUACUUGCGGGUUGCUAAUUCCGUGUAUCUAAUUCAUCCUCAGAUUCACCAUAAAGGAAGAUCAUUGUUUUGUGAGGAUGAUGCUAGCAUUCAUAAAUUAUGCAGAUGUUUUAUCAGUUAAAUGACAUUAAUGGGUGCAUCAGAGGAACAAAUUAGAACUCUUUUUGUCCUGCAUACCAGAAUGAGAUCUGCUGCAGGAAGAAACUCAACUUGAUGUGUAACAUAAAGUAUCGUCUUGCCCUUGAGAACCCUCAUCAAGCACUCCUGCACCAUGCAGAGAAUUUAAAUUUAUUACUUAAAUAGAAUAACGUUAUCUCACACCAGAUGGAUAGUGAGGUUUAAGAAACCAAAACUAGAAUUACUCUUUUGAUGGACAUGCUGAACAACCAACCUGAAAGAGGUGUGUUCCUGUGUGAGCAUCGACAGCACUGAAAGGGUCAUCAAGAAGAUAUAUAUCAGCAUCUUGAUAAACCGCACGAGCAAGUUGUAUUCUCUGCUUCUGACCUCCACUCAUAUUUAUCCCUCUUUCUCCUAUUUCUGUAAGAUCGCCAGCAGGGAAUAGUUCAAAAUCUUUUUUCAGAGAACAUGCGUCAACUGUUCUGUCAUACUUGACACUCUCAUAAGGUUUUCCAAAUAGAACAUUCUCCUUGAUAUUUCCUGAAAGGAUCCAAGGAGACUGAGGAACAUAUGCCACUUCACCGCUGAUCUUCACGAUCCCUGACAGUUUUGACAUCUCUCCCAGAACACAAGAGAGCAAGCUUGACUUCCCUGAUCCAACAUUGCCACAAAUUGCCACCUUCAUUCCCCUCUUAGCUUGUAAUUCUAUUCCAUCAAGGGUCGGGAUUCUUGAUUCUGUGUCCCAGCUGAAUGUUCCACUCUUUAUCUCAACCCUAAAUUGCGUUUCAACUUUGGGAACAAAUUCAACUGCAUCGGGUUGAAUCUCAUCUUGCUGCAGGUAGGAAGCAAUUCUAUCAGCAGAAACUUUUCCUUGUGCCAUCACAGAGAGUAAAUCUGGCAAAUUGAAUAUAGGAUCUUGAAGCAUCCGAAAUGUAGCCAAUGCAGAUAAGACCCGCCCUGCAGUCAGUGGAAUGCCCAUCAUAACACAUCCAGAAAAGGUUGCCACAGAAAUAAAUGCAGGUGAUCCCCAGAAGAUAAAAGCAGUUAGGGCUGACAAUCUAAGUGACUUCCAUAACCAAUUACGUUCUACUUUUCUCAGGAUUUCCAGCUUCUGUAGAUAAUAACUAUCCCAUGCCUGAAGUUUGAUAGUCUUCAUAUUCCUCAGAAUCUCUGAGGUGGAUUUCAUUCUUUCAUCUUUGGACUCCAUUAUUUUAGUUUGAUAACCUUUUUGGGUACUUACCAGGGGUAUGUUGCCAGUCAUCACUAUCACGGUGGCCCCUAAUGCCACAAGUGCCCCCAUCCCUAGAUUCAUGUGUAAAAUAUAGAUUGCCAGUGAUAUCUGAACCGGUAACAUCCAUAUUGUGUUGAGGUACCAUAUAAAAUCUGUAAUCCUUUGGACAUCUACACUCAUGUAAUUCAUUAUCUCCCCGCUGGUGUAGCUCUGGCGUGAUUGACUUGAUAAAAGUAGGCCCUUUUGGUAAAUGUGAGAUAUCAGAGCAGCCCUGAGCCGAAGGCCUAGCUGCCGAGCUCCAAAUAUCCACUGCCUUUGUGCAAUGGUCUCAACCAUUUUUGCACCAAGAAAAGUUAGUGCUAGAAAAUAACCACUUCGUAACCCCCGAAGUUUCUUUUCGUUGAGGAAGUUUACAAAGUCGUCAAUAAGGAAUGGACCAACAUAAGCUGAUCCUGCACUAAUAACUGCAAAGAGGGCAUUGAUUGCUGCUUUUUUCCUUGCAAAUAUGUAAAGGGCCUUAUAGAUGGAUGGGUUUGUGGUUCCAUCCAUUUCCUUUACAUACUUUAGGCUUUCAUCAAAGGAAUCAGAUAGAAAUUUUGCAGAGUCCCUGAAGUCGACAUCUGGGACUUCAUCCUGGUCAAUGGGCUUCUUGACUCCAACUUCAAAUAGUGGAUUGAGCCAAGAGAAGGUGAUCUGUUGGAGAAGACUAGCUUUUCCAUAUGGGUUGUCCCUUUUUGCUUCAGAAUGCUUUUCCUUCUUUCCAUUUAGAAGUGGUUCAGUUGUGUGGUCUGAGAUGUCAAAUAUUAUGCCCGUCUUCCCUUUAAUAGAGAUACACAUAAGACAGGCUGAUGCAGUAAGACCAAGGAUAUCCACGUAGUCUGCAAGUCCUAGAUGUUCGUCACUUGUGAUAACAAAAUGGGAAUCAAGAAUCACACGAGCAAGAGACAGAAAGAAGAUGGAAAUCCACCAUAUUCUGAGUAUCCAAGGGAACUUGAUGUAUUUCCUAUUUAAAGUUCUGUAGAGCACAAGAAAUGAAGCUGCCCAUGAUGCCAUUUGCAGAAUCUCAGAUGAAAUAACUGGAAAGUCGAAUUGGCAAUGAGCACAAUUUCUCUUUCGCAGCAUCAAGAGCAUUAUGAGAUGAGUGCACAAUAAUAUAGUUGUGCAGAUAAUGCUAAAUAUGUAGGAAAUGCCAACUUUUGUGCCAACAGCAUACUUUUCGACUACCACAAACUUCUUUCUGCAUUUGCAUAGCACUGAGUCCAGCAGUGAGAUUCCGAGGAAUCCCAGUAGGACAAUGAUGCUGGCGUCCUCCCACAAGCAGGGUGAUAUCGGCCGCAGCCAUGUCAUCUUUAAUUCAGAGAAAUCUAUUCCUGCCACCGAUCAAAAGAAGAAUCAUCUCAUUUAUCAUUUAUAUAAAGACUAAACUAUUCUCCAACUAGCAGCCUGUUUUUAAGGCAGUGCAUGCCAAAUUCUAUCCGUCAUCAUGGUUAUAUGCACUUCACUUCCCAUACAGCUUAAACAGAACAGAAAUUUAUGUGGUCAUGUAUUUUCCUGUUGUUUAGACUCCACAAAGCAGUUUCUUAAUUUUUCAAUUCGCAGGUACAAAUGUUAAUGCGAAUGCUCAUCUGUUCAUGAAUCUUUACCAUUAAGUUGUCCAAUAAACGAGAACGUAUGUUGAACUGAAGUUUCAUUCUAACUUUUCCUGCUAACAUUUUCAUUGUAAUUUUGUCUUAUAAACGAGAGCGUGCGCUGAACUGAAAUCUGGAAGCUUUUCCUCCUUGAAACAACCCCCUGAAAAGAAAUCCUCAAACCUGAAACUCCUCAAUAUUUCUUCAGCCAUCACAUGUGAAAACCAGAAGAAAAACAUUUUUUUUUUUUAAAAAAGAACUUUUGCAGAAACAGAGAAAGCAGAGGAGAGGUCAAAUGUCAGGGGAAUAAACGAUUGCCCUGAGCCGAAAAAGUGGGCCGCAUUAGAAGUUUGACCAAAAGUUGUCAUAAUUUUAUCUCAAAGUUCUUACAUCUAAUUUUUCCUAAAAAUUAUUGGGGCAGGGGUCAAAUGUUAGUAAAUAUAUAUAAAAAAUAUAUUUGGUAAUUUCUUCUCGUCUCUAGGCAUUAAAGGAAAAAGUUACUAAUUUAUUUCUGGGAAAUAGUGAUCCGAAAUUAGAAGUCUAGGUGCAUACAAGUUGGAUAGUACAUGAGGACAUAAUUAUUUUGGAAUGUGAUUUAUCAAAUUUGUUUUUUCUAAAAUUAAAAAAUAUUUUCCUUAAAAAAUAUUUAUUAGGCUGUUCGAAAUAAAGACAGAGAAGCUCCAUCAUUGAAGUUGCUGUGAGUUUGGCAUUCAAAGAUCCUAGGUUAUUCUAAUUGAUCCUAAAUGCAGCUCUAGUGUUCAGCAGCUAGAGACAGAUCUAUGUAUCUGUUUAUUUGUCGUCGAACCACUUCUUUUGAUUGACCUUAUUUGCGUUUGAUUUGGAAAAUAAAUAAAUCCUCCGACUGAUUUCACUUUCUGGGUUUUAAUGAAAACAGAGACAUGUUGCUCGGUGCAAUACAUAGAUUUGAGGAAAAGUCAUGGACUACACACAUCUAAGUGAGUAAACAAGUCAAUUUAGUAGUCUUUUUUUGGCACUUGGCGUUAGCCUCUCAUAUCAAAGUAUAUAUUUUAAUAAUAACAAACUAAUUUAUUGUUAAUGUGCAGGAUAUACCAGAAGGAGGAUAAUCAAGGCAAGAAAGAUCAUCAUCGAGAUAUACUUGGAAGCACAUUCCUCACUACAAGGCAAAGUUGAUCUUGGAUGCGUCAUCAAGAAAAGAUCUCUCAAGAUCCUCCCAGAUCCCAAAAUACAAGGAAGAUAAUACACAAGAUCACGUAGCAACAUGGAAAGGAAAUCACACCCUCUUCAUGGACAUAUCUGAUAUGGACACGAAUGGUUGUGAUGAAAGGCAAACAACAUAUAUGGACAAUCUGAUAUGGAAGUAUUACCCUCAAUCAAGGAACCAAAUCAAAUCUUUGAUUGAGAAGAAAUCCUUUGUGUUUCCUUUUGGAGCAAAGUAGCAGCAUCAACCAAAGAAUAUAAAUAGAGAAGGCUGAAGACUCGAGAAAGCAUGCAACUUCACACAAAAUUCUUAGUGUGUCUCAAUCUUAGUCUUAACAAAGUUUUGUACUCAUUUGUUUACAAUAAUUAUAAAAAGAAAAGAUCUAGCCAACUUAGUCAUACCAGUUGAGGCUGUGUCACAAGAUCAAAUAUCAGAAUAAACUUUAGAACUUGUUUGCUACAUUUGUUCUCCAACUCUACUUUGAAUGCUUUAAGGAACCUCUUGAAAUGCAACGGAAUUGGAAGUAGGCACCACAUUGGUGUUCCGAACCAGGCUAAUUAUCUGUGUCAUUACUUUAUUUACUUACUUAUUCACUUGUAUAUUUAACUUUAAAUCUAUUCUGUCCAAGUAUACUUGUCUACAGGUUAGUUGAUUGUCAAGCCUAACCAGUCGACUCAGAAAAAGUUUCAAUUCACCUUCCCUUCCCCUUUUGAAUUUCAAUUGGUAUCAGAGCAAGUCUCACCAACAACAUUGCUUAACCGCACGUGAGAAAAGAUCCAAUGGCAAACUAUCAAAUUCUAGGAGCCCUCAUUCAAAAAGGUCACUCAUCCACUAGACCACCAUACUUCAAUGGACAACACUACUCACAUUAGAAGAACAAGUUCAAAAUUUUUGUUUAGUUAAAUGACUUCCAAGCGUGGGUUGUUAUUAAAAAGGGGCCAAAGCUAAUUCCAGGACUAAAAAAAUAGAAGAAAAAAGAAUCAGACAGUGUUGACUUGGACGAUUUUGAAAACUUCAAAGUCACCAAGAAACAAUAAGAGGUAAUUCAAACUAAUGCAAGAGCUAUUAAUUUACUCUAUUGUGCAGUUAGUGGAGCGGAAUAUGACAAGAUAUCAAUCUGUGAAACCACAAAGGAGAUGUGGAACAAAUUAGAAGUAACCUAUGAAGGAAUCAUCAAAAUAAAAAAUGCAAGAAUUAGUGCUCUAGUCAAUGAGUACGAGUUUUUCAAAAUGGAAGAAAAUGAAAGUGUGGAAUUAAUGUUUGCUCAAUUCAGAAAAAUUAUAUGUGGUCUAAGGUCCUUAGAAAUGAUCUAUCCAAACAGUCUACAAGUCCAAAAGCUUAUAAAAAGUCUCCCAAAGGCAUUUGAAACUAAAGCUGUCAUUCUGGAAGAUGAGGAUCUCCAUAAUAUGACCUACGAUGAAUUAAGAGGUAAUAUUAUUGCGUAUGAACAAAACUAUAUUAACAGAUACAACAAGGAAGAAAAGAAGAAACCAGUAGCUUUCAAUGUCGGAACAACUGAAGAAGAAUAAAUCCAAAAUGAUGACAAUAGUGGGGGAAUGACUCUCAUAAACCACGGAAUAAGACAGAUCUUGAAACAGAGGCAGCAAAGACCAUAAGGAUACAAAAAUAAUGAAUUCACAAGGAAUGAUGAUCGCUGUUAUUACUGUGGAAAACCUGGACACAUUAAACAAAACUGUCCAGAAUUGAGAAGAAGAUCAUUCAAGAAAAAUAAAAACUUUGGGGCAUGGAGUGAUGAAGAUAAAACUAAAGAAGAUACAUAAACGACCAACAUGUGCUUCAUGGCAAAAGGUGAACCAAGUAAGGUAAGACCCUACAACUACCAUAAUUGCAACAUUCUUCAAAUAAAUCUUCAUAUAAUUGUCGACGAGCUCCAAGAAGUUAUUGAUUAAUACAAUAAACUUGAUCAAGAAAAGAAAGGUUGGGAAUCUCAAUUAAAAUGAAAGCUUAAAUUGGAAAAGAAAAACUGUCAAAUUGAACUUGAAAUAUGUCAAAUCAAAACUGACUUGCUUCAAAAGGAACUUGAUGAUGUAAAAAUACAGUUAAAUGGCAUCAUAAAAUCAUCAAGUCACAGUUCCAUAAGGUCAAGCUCCUUUAAAAAUAAAACAAGCUCUUCGUCAAGUUCGUUUGAGUCAGCUAAAACCUUUUUCUCUUUUCAAGGGCCAGUCUGCUACACUUGUGGCAUAAAGGGCAGAAAUCACAUAACUGCAGACAAAGGUCUAAAGGCGUGUGGGUUUGGUGACCCAAAGGAAGCACCUCUAACCCUCAAGGACCCAAGACCACUUGGGUACCUAAACAAAAUUAAUUUUCAUAUUUUACAGAAAUAUAUCUGUAAAAGUUAUAGGGAAGAAAUGUGGGUCAUCAAUAGCGGAUGUUUCAGAAACAUGACCGAAAAGGAAGAAAAUUUUUAUUGUCUAAAGAAAAUUAAAGGAGGAUCAGUCAGAUUUGGAGAUAAUGUUAAAGGUGGAGUCAUCGGAGUCGGAUCAGUGAAGCUCAACUCCUCUUGUGAACUCGUGGAAGUGUACCUUGUGGAUGGGCUCAAACACAACCUGUUGAGCAUAAGUCAACUAUGUGACUCAGGAUUCAGAGUAUCCUUAAAAGUUGAUAGUUGCUCCAUCAAACACGAAAGCAGAAACAUCUCUCUUAUCGAUGAACGUGCUGACAAUAUUUAUGUUCUUAACUAUUUCAAUUUUGCUACUCUGAUUUGUCUCACUUUGCAAACCAACGACACAUGGUUGUGGCACUAAAAACUUAGGCAUGCCAGCAUAUAUGCCAUUGACAAAAUCUCCAGACUUGACUGGUUAAAGAUCUGCCAAAACUAAAGUUUGAGAAGGAAAGAUAUUGUCAAAUUUGGACAAAUUUAAAGUCAAAGAUAUUGUCUCCGCCACCAAACAUCUCCAAACAAUUCACAUGGAUUUGUAUGGUCCCACCAAGACCGCAAGUAUUGGUGAAAAAAGAUACGUAUUUGUUAUUCUUGAUGACUAUUCUCAUUUUACUUGGAUAAUAUUUCUUGCUCACAAGCAUGAAGCAUUCAUAAAUUUUGAGAUUUUUUGUAGAGAAGUACAAAGAGAAGAAGGACACUUCAUUACCUAUGUUCAUAGUGAUCAUAAUGGAAAAUUUAAAAAUAAGGCUUUCGAAGAAUACUGUGCUCAAAAUAGCUACUCACAGAAUUUUUCCUCUCCUCGAUCUCCUCAAUAGAACGGUGUGGUAGAAUGGAAGAAUAGAUCUCUCCAAGAGACCAUAAUAACCAUGCUUAUGGAACACAAUAUACCAGAUUAUUUUUGGGCAGAGGCAGUAAACACAGCUUGCCACAUUCUCAACAGAUGCCUCAUCAGACCUAUUUUAAAGAAAACUCCCUAUGAGUUGUGGAAAGUGAAAAAAACUAAUAUCAGUUACUUUCAUCCAUUUGGAUACAAAUACUUCAUCCAAAACAAUGGUAAGAAUAACUUGGAAAAGUUUGACCCACAAAAUAAUGAAGGUAUUUAUCUUGGGUACUCUUUCACUAGUCGCGCUUAUAGAGCUUAUAAUAAAUGAACAUUAUGUGUUAAAGAAUCUAUGUAUAUUGUAUUUGAUGAAACUAAUCAUUCUUUUAUGAGUUUGAGUUUUGAUGAAGAUCGGGUAAAUGAUCCACAAUCAAAAGCCAGAAUAGAUAUAACUCCUAAUCCAUCGACCUUUGAGUCAACUACCAUUCAUCCAGAGUCAGAUUCCAUCGAUGAAACGGAUAAAAUAAAUGUCCCAAGAGAAUGGAGAAACAAUGAUAGCUUCCCAAAUGAUUUCAUCAUUGGAAAUCUGAAUGAUAAGGUGGAAACAAGAGCUUCAUUAAGAAAAUAGGUCUCUAUUGCUCUUGUGUCUCAAAUACAGCCAAAAAAGGUUGAUAAAGCCCUCAAAGACAAAUAUUGAAUUGAUGCUAUGAAGGAAGAAUUAGAAAAGUCUAGUGAAAAGACUCAAGAACUUUUCAGUUGUAGAACCAGAUGGGUUUACAAAAAUAAACUAAGUGAGGAAGGUAAGGUGAUCCGAAAUAAGGCUAGACUGGUAGCUCAAGGCUACUCCCAGAAUGGAGGCAUUGACUAUGAUGAAACCUUUUCCCCCGUAGCAAGGUUAGAAUGAUUCGAAUCUUAUUAGCUUUUACUGUUUUCAAAUGCUUUAAAUUAUAUCAGAUGGAUUGAAAAAGCGCUUUCCUGAGUGGCUACAUUCAUGAAGAGGUUUAUGUUAAAAAACCUCCUAGUUUUGAAGAUUCAUCUUAUCUAAACUAUGUGUUCAAACUUUCAAAAGCACUUUACAGUCUCAAACAAGCUCAAGCUUGGUAUGAGAGGUUGAGUACCUUUCUGCUCAAAAAUAAUUUUUAAAGAGGAAAAAUAGAUACUACUCUCUUUACUUAAAAACUGGACUUUAAUUUACUUAUUGUGAAAAUCUAUGUUGAUGAUAUUAUUUUAGGAGCUCUAACAUUUCUUUGUGCGAGAAUUUUGCAAAUCUAAUAAAAGGAGAGUUUGAAAUGAGCCUCAUGGGAUAACUCACGUUCUUCUUAGGGUUACAGAUCAAACAAACCUCCAAAGGCACAUUUAUCAGCCAAGCUAAGUAUACUAGGGAGCUCAUAAAAAAAUAGAGAAUGGAAGAAGAAAAGGCUUUCGAGACUCCAAUGAUUCCUUCAACAUGCCUAGAUCUUGAUAUAUUUGGAAAGAAUAUUGAUGAAAGACGUACAAAGGAAUGAUUGUGUCCCUAAUCUACUUAACCGCGAUUGAGCAGAAAUUUUGUUCAACGUGUGUAAAUAAGCAAGGUUUCAGUUGGCUCUCAAUGAGUCCUGCUUGACUGCCAUCAAAAGAAUUAUUUUCUAUCUCAUCGGGACUGAAUACUUCGAACUUUGGUUUUCUCAUUUCUCAAACUUUGACUUAGUUGUCUAUUAAGAUGCUGAUUUUGCAGGUGACAAAAUGAUAAAAAGAGCAUGAGUAAAACGUAUCAAAUUCUUGGUAAUGCCCUAAUUUCAUGUCAUAGCAAGAAACAAAAUUCCAUUGCUCUAUCAACUACCGAAGUCGAAUACAUAGCCAUUGAAAAUUGUGGUAUUCAAAUUUUAUGAAUUAUGCAUCAAUUAUUUGAUUAUGAUUUAUCAUUUGAAUCUGUGCCUAUCAUGUGUGAUAAUAUCAGGAAAUUAGUUUGUCAAAAUACAUGGUGCACCAUUCUAGGGCCAAGCACAUAGACAUUAAGCAUCAUUUCAUUCGUGAUCAUGUAGAAAGUGGAGAUUUUUCCUUAGAAUUUAUUAAUUCUGAAAAUCAGAUUGCUGACAUCUUUACUAAACCUUUGCUUGAAGAAAGAUUUUAUUUUUAAGAAAAAACUUAGAAUAUUAUGUAUUAAUGAUCUUUAAAUACUUAAACCCGUUUAUUUGGUGUAAAAAAUCUUUUGUAAAAAUUUUUGUCCAUAAUUUUACCCCUCUAACUCCCUUUUUGUCCUUUCUUAUCCACCUCUUUUCACACAUCCAUUUUCCCUCUCUUCAUAAUUACCAUAUUUUCACCUUUUUAACUUCCUAACACAUCUACCAUCUCUUCAUCUUAAUAGUCACCUCAGGUGGCUUCAUCUGUUUCAAACUUUCACUACUUUAUCUCCCCUCUCUCUUUUUAACCCCCUUACUCUAUUUCCUUCAUCAAUGACAGAACUCAUCAAUGGCCAAUCUUUCUAAUUCCUCUCUAGAUUGUCUCUCCAGUACCCACGACCUAGUUCUCAUCUCUGGGGCCUCUAACGAAGCCUUCUCCUACCCCCUUCAAUCAACUAUCCAUAAAAAAUGAUUUUUCCCCAUCCCUAACUCCUCUAUUAAGAAAAGUCGUCCCUCUCUUUUGGACUCUCUUCCACUAAAGGACAUGCAAAAAUUCUGGACUUGCACUCGAAGGGAAAAGUUUCUCACUUUCAGAAGUCACUCUAUUGAUAUAAGACUAAGUGUGUAUCAAAAGAUUCCAACCAACACAAGAACAACAAGAUGAACAACAAAGUGCUGGUGAAUCAAAAAAUAGCCACACACGGCUUCACUAGGCUUGCAACACUUGUUUUGAACUAGAAAAGUGAGUUUAACAACAAGAACAACGAAGACAAUAUCACUAGUGAAUCGAAAGAGCUCCACACGGCUUCACUAGACUUUUAGAUUCAACAAUACAAUGUUAACAAAAUUUACAAAAAAAGAGAUAGAAACUUGACACAUAAUAUUCAUUCAUCUAAAAACCCUAACAAGAGAAAGGGCCCUAAGACUAAUGAAUAUCAAUACCAAGUUCUUGCUUAGACCAAAAGGAACUCAAAGAACCCCAAGAACCUAGUUUCUAACAAGAUACAAUACUAAUAUCACUCUACUAGUGAGAUUCGGUUUUGGCCUCUCCAAAUGGGAAAGAGAAGUAAAAAAUAUUACAAGUCUUUUUGUCUUCUAUGAUAUGAAUGAACUAAAGAGGACUAGCCCUAACACAUGGCUUAUAUAGUCAAUUACAAAAGAGGGACAAAAUACCAAAAUACCCUUGGCAUUAAGUGGGUGGGUUUGGAGUGCUUUGGUGGGCCUUUUUACACUUUAAUAAGUAUAGACCCUUAGAUGGGCUCACAAGGGCCUCAUACACGGCCAAGGAUAUGAACAAUUCUAAGAGUCAUUGUAACUAAUGUGCUUGGCUUCGUGUGAAAGAUCUCGAGCUAGGAAUUUUUGUAUCAUCCUCUCUAUCUUGAAGAGAAUUUGUCCUCAAAUUCGGAGCAUUGCCAUCCUCCACCGUUUCCACCCGAGAGAGGUCACACACAUUGAAAGUGUUGUACACUUGAUAUUCCAGGGGUAAAUCAAUCUUGUAGACAUUGUCAUUGAUCCUUUCUAAUACUUGGAACGGGCCAUCACUCCACGACAUCAACUUAGCAUUCCUUUGAGACGGGAAUCUAUCCUUCCUUAGGUGCACCCACACCCAAUCUCCCAGUUCAAUAAUGAGCCUUCUCUUUUUUUUGUUGGCUUGCCUUAAAACUUCUUGAUUUUUAUUCUCUAACCGUAACCUCACAUUCUCAUGUAGCUUGUUCAUGGCCUCAACCCAUUUUCUUCCAACUAAGCUUAUCACAAGAUCACUUGGCAAAGGGGCUAAAUCCAAAAGGGUAAGGGGGUUGAUGCCGUAUACAUACUCAAAGGGGGUCAUACUCGUGCUUGAGUAUAUAACACGAUUAUAAGCAAACUCAAUCAACGGUAAGUGCUCCUCCCAAGAAGUCAUUUUUCCCUUAAACAUGAACCGUAGCAUAGACCCUAAGGUCAUAUUUACUACUUCCACUUGGCCAUCGGUUUGUGGGUGGCAUGAAGUCAAAAACAAUAACUUAGUACUGAGCCUACCCCACACGGACUUCCAAAAGUAGCUUAGGAAUUUAGAAUCCCUAUCACUCACUAUGGUCCUCGAAACACGAUGAAGUUUUGCAACAUUAUCAAUACAAAAAGUGGCUACACUAAGCGUAUCAUCAUAUUUAGAACAAGGAAUAAAGUGAGUCAUCUUGGAAAAUUGAUCCACCACGACAAAAAUACUAUCUCGCCACCUUCUAGUCCUCGAUAAUCCUAACACGAAGUCCAUUGAUAUAUCAAGCCAAGGACGCAAAGGGGUGGACAAUGGGGUGUACAACCCAUGGGGUUGGAGCCGUGACUUGGCUCCUUUGCACUCAACACAUUGGCCACAAAUCUGGGACACAUCCUUGUGCAUUCUAGGCCAAUAAAAUUAUUCUUCUAAAAUUCUGAGGGUCUUCUUGACCCCAAAAUGGCUCAUUAGACCACCAUUGUCUGCUUCUCUAAAAAAUAAUUGUCUCCACAAACUUGAGGGAAUAGACAAUCGUCUACCCUUAAACAAGUAUCCAUCAAAUUUGGUAUAGGUAUGGAAACCCCUAUCCGUAACCCACUUAUCCCUAUCUAAAUCUUCACUUUCCCUAUAGAUAAGAGCGAAGUGAGGGUCCUCAGGAUAUAAAUACAUGAGGCUUUCAAACCCCAUCAACUUAGACAACAAAGUAGACACAAGCACAUAUUUUUGGGAUAAAGCAUCGGCAACCACAUUGUCUUUACCCUUCUUGUAAUGAAUAACAUAAGGGAAAGUUUUAAGAAAUUCAAUCCAUUUAGCAUGCCGCUGGUUAAGCUUGUCUUGUGCCCGUAGAUUCUUUAAGGAUUUAUGAUCUAUUCGAAUCAUGAAUUCUUUAGGCCACAAAUAAUGUUGCCAAGUGGCCAAGGCUCGAAUCAAGGCAUACAACUCUAAAUCGUAUCAAGAGUAAUUUAGAGUUGCUCCUUUAAGAUUUUCGCUAAAGUAGGCAAUAGGAUUCAAUUCUUUUAUUAAAACCGCGCCUGUGCCGACUUUUCUAGCAUCACAUUCGACCUCAAAAGUCUUGUUAAAAAUUGGUAAUUGUAGCAAAGAGGCUGAGAUGAGCAUAACUUUCAAGUCCUCGAAGGCCUUAGCUUGCUCAUCUCCCCACUUGAAAGGUUGAUCCUUUUUAAUCACUUCGGUCAAGGGGGCGACAAUGGUGAUAAAUUCUUUGACAAAAUGUCUAUAAAAACUAGCCAACCUGUGGAAACUUCUGACUUCACCUAGGUUUUGGGAGUUGGAUAAUUUUUAAUGGCAUCAAUCUUAGAUUCAUCCACUUCGACCCCUCUUGAGCUCACCAUAAACCCAAGAAAUACAACUUCAUGGACACCAAAAGAACACUUUUCUAGAUUAACAUAUAACUUAUCCUUUCAAAGGACAUCAAACACACAUUGUAAAUGCUUUACAAGAUCGUCUAAGUACUUACUAUACAUCAACAUAUCAUUAAAGUAAACAACAAUAAACUUUCUGAUAAAUGGAUUCAUCACAUGAUUCAUUAGCCUCAUGAAAGUACUUGGAGUAUUUUUUAGGCCGAAUGACAUAACCAUCCAUUCAUAGAGACCAAAUUUGGUAUUGAAGGUGGUUUUCCAUUCAUUACCCGAUUGCAUACGGAUUUGGUGAUAGCCACUCCUCAAAUCUGUUUUAGAAAACAAACACGAACCACUCAAUUUAUCAAGCAUAUCAUCUAGCCUAUGAAUAGGGUGAUGAUAUUUUACCGUUAUCUUAUUGAUGGCUCGGUAAUCAACGCACAUACAUCAAGUCCCGUCUUUUUUGGGAACUAGUAGCACCGAAACCGCACAAGGGCUCAUACUCUCCUUGAUGUACCCUUUGUUGAGAAGUUCCUCAACUUGGCAUUGCAAUGCCUUGGUAUCUAUCGGGUUGCUUCUAUAAGCCGGUUUGUUGGGCAAUUGUGCACAAAAUUAAUUUGGUGCUCAAUGCCCCAAAGUGGUGGCAAUCUUUUUGGCAAUUUCUUUAGGAAAACAUCCUCGUAAUUCUACAAAAUAUAAGAAAUAGGAGGAGAAAUGGAAACAUUAACGAGGUUAGUAUUAAAACAAUAAGACAAGAGGAGCAUCGGAGUGUCCUCGUCAUGAUCCACAAAUAGUUCCUUCUUCCCAGACAUCAUCACUAUGCUCCUGUGCCCCUUAGAAUUUAGGGUCCCCUCGGCUUCCCCUACCCCCUUACUCUUGGAUUCCCCUCUUUUUCCCUCACUCCCAGUUUUCUUUCCCUUUUUCCUCAAAUCCCGCAUCUUUUGGUGUAAUUUAUUUACUUGGGAAGACAAUAAUGGAUGAAGAGUGACCUUUCGGCCAUCCUUCUCAAGUGUAUACUGAUUGGACCUUCCAUCAUAUUUGGUCGACCUAUCAUAUUGCCUAGGACUUCCUAACAAUAAGUGACAAUCUUGCAUUGGUAUCACGUCACAACGUACCUCAUCAUGGUAGUUGGCUACCUUAAAACGUAUCACAUAUUGCCUUGUGACCUUUAACUAGCCGCAUUCAUUCAACCUUUAUAACUUGUAAGGACUAGUGUGAGGUAUAGUCAGCAAUUUUAAGAAGUUUACCAUUGUAACACUAACCACAUUUGCACAACUUUCACUAUCUAUCACCAUAGAGCACACACUUCCCUUCACAAGGCAUUUAGUAUGGAAUAGAUUCUCCCGUUGGCUAGGAUGUUCUAUCGCCUUACUAAUUAUGACACACUUCACUAUAAAGUUUAGAAACAUGCACUCUCUUUCUUGCGGAUAAGCAUCCUCAUAAUCAUCAUCAUCAUCAUCAUCAUCAUGUGGCUCCAUCUUAGCCGUCUCUCUAUCUUGAGGCUCGACCUUACUCUCAUCACCCUCAAUACCCACUUUUUCACUAAGGAAAUACAAUCUACCUUUCCUUAGGAUUAUAUUGCGUCGUUUAGGGCAUUCAUUGGUUUUAUGCCCCCAACCUUGGCACUUGAAGCACUGAAACCCUUUAGGAUUAGGAUAUUUGUGAACUUCUUGUCUCGGAGGGAUUUUAUGGACUAUUUUGGGCUCAAGCAUCCUAGUAGUGGUGGGUUGGUCCUUGUUUUUGGGCCAACCCAAAGAGGAUUGAACCAUAUCCUUGCCCCUCGGCCAACCCAAGGUUGAUUGUCCUUUUGCUUUAAAUGACGACCUCUCUUUAAGUUCCCUUUCAAUCUCAAGAGCCACUUGGAAAAUACCUUCGAUGGUAUUAAGCUUGUGAAGUGACAAAUGAGUGGAGAUGUCUUUUUUCAACCCACACUUGAACCGAAUGAUGUCAUGACUAAUUUGUUCUCCACGAUGAUCAAGUUUCUACAUGAGUUGUUGAAACUCAUCAUAAUAUGCCAUAACACUUCGAUUUCCUUGCCGCAAGUUGUACAAUCUAGAAAGUAACUCAUGAUAAUAGCUUUCAAGAAGAUACCAUUGUCUCAUUAGGUACCUCAACCAAAAACAUGACGGUAUACACCUUGGGGUUACUUUUACCCUUAAAGAUGGGUAGGUUCAAUUUGAUGGUAUUGAUUCCUACGUCUCUCUCUUGGUGUCGGUUUCCCCUUUCUUCAUACCCUCAGUAUCUUCUUGGAUCCACACCUUCCCUUAUCAUCUCCUCCUCCCUCAUGUAAUAUAAUCAAAGAAUCCAUACCCUUCAUAAUCCUCUCUACCAUAUUUCUCAAAGUGGACAGGAUGGUUUUGGAUGUUUGAAACUUGAUUUGGAGGAGUUGGAUUUCACAGAGGUGGCGGUCUUUCAUUUAGUGGGGCUCAAAAGGAUGGGUUUAGAUUUAGUAGAGGUAUUAGACGCCCAAGUACCUCUUGCGUAACUUGAGGAAUUUGAGAAUGGGUUGGUGUAUUAGAGUCUCAAUUUAGGGGCUUAUGAGUGGUUUGUCUUGCGGUAUUUAGUGGAGUGAUUGAAGGAUUUGGAAAUUGUGGCCAUGUUUCAGGAGUAAUAGUGGCAUAGGAGUUUUUUAUCAUGUCCACUUAACGAAACAUGUCGAGAAGUAGAAGGGUGAGAGUUGCUUUGACU
rnacentral:lncRNA from 1 species